rnacentral:lncRNA from 1 species
AUACCUCUAGCCGCUGCAGCUCUCCAAGCUCCGGUGCUAUACCUCCCAUGAGGGAAUUCCAACUGAGAUCAAGACUUUCAAGAGACUGUAAAUGCCCCAUCUCAGUAGGAAUACUCCCUGCGAAUCUAUUCUUGCUCAUAUUCAAGAAUAUCAGUUUUGAGCACUUGCCAAGCUGUUUAAGAAUUGUUGCACUAAAGUUGUUCGCGGCCAGGCCAAGCCUUUGGAGAUCAGAUAGCGCUGCGACAUCAAAAGGAAUAUCACCUGAUAGUUUGUUAUCGUUGAGUUCAAGUUCAAUCAACUUUAAAUUUCCCAAUUCUUUUGGAAUUCUCCCAACUAGUUGAUUUGACGACAGGUCAAGAGCUUGUAGAUGAGUUGCCUUUCCAAGAGCUGCUGGUAUUUCUCCAGAAAUCUUGUUUCCAGAAAUCUUGAAGGUUGUCAGAUUGUUAAACUGCUCCCAUUUCAAUGAAAGUUCACCAUGCAAUUCAUUAUCACUCAAAUCCAUGUAGUACAAAUGAGGAUGUGUGCCAAAAGCUUCAGAUAUGUUUCCACUAAGUUGGUUUCUCUCAAGUCUGAGUCUCAACAAGCUGCUGCAAUUUCUCAAGCUUUUUGGGAUAGGUCCCGUGAAAUAAUUGUCCAACGCACCAAAAUAUGAAAGUAAUUCACCAAGGCACACAUCUCGUGGAAGAUUACCAGACAAUCUAUUAGAAUAUAUUUGUAACGAGUACAAAUGUGUAAGGUUUUUCAUUUCUGGAGGAAUGGGACCAAAAAGAUUGUUAAUCCCAAGGUGAAGUAUUAAGCUUUUUAAAUUGCCUAGAGAUGUUGGUAUUGUACCAAUUAGAUUAUUAGAUGACAAAUCUAAAGUGGUUAGGUUUUCCUAAGUUUCCUAAAGAUGCUGGUAUUGUACCAGUUAGAUAAUUAGAUGACAAAAGUAAACUGGUGAGAGAUCUCAUGUUUCCUAUGGAAGCAGGGAUUGGACCUUCAAAAUUAUUUCUGGACAAGUGAAGGGUAGAUAGAUGUUCAAGCAUUCCUACUUCCCUAGGUAUGAAACCAGAGAGUUCGUUGCCGUGAAGGUAAAGAUACGACAAGUUGCUUAAGUUUCCUAUGGACGUAGGAAGAGCACCACUAAGGUUGUUAUCUGACAAAUCAAGCAAAUAAAGAGAUACCAAUUUUCCAACUUCUGGUGGUAUGUUGCCAGAAGUGCUAUUUGAAGACAAAUCAAGUUUGAUAAGGUUACCUAUAUGUGAAGGAAUGGACCCAUAGAGCGAGUUGUUGCGAAGGAUAAGCACAGUCAAGUCAGGAAAGGAAGAGAAUCGGAGACUAUUAAGCGUACCUCUCAAACUAGAAUUGGACAGACUUAUGUUGCUGACACUACCAGACUUGUCGCAACUGAUUCCGAACCAGUUGCAAGGGCUGUCUCCAGCCCAAGAUGACAGGAGAGACUGGCUUUGGUUGUCAAGAGUGACUUUCCAUUCUAGAAGAGCUUCCGCUUCCUUCCUUCCAUUUGCUACUUCAGCAGCUCCAGUACUAGCCGAGUAAGCAAAAGAAGGAAAGAAGGAAGCAUAAGCAAGUAAGGAAAAAAACAAGGAAGGUAUGGAUAAGAGCAAGAUAUGGGAAGCCAUGGCCUUAGUGGUUUAAUUUCUUAAAAAGGAUGUAUAAAAUGAUUAGCCCUGCAUACGUGUAUAUAUAUAUAUAUAUGUAUAUAUAUAUAUAUAUAUAUAUAUGCAGGAAUUCAUUUGUCUUGGUCAUGAUCAAAGAUUUCUUAAGAAGAUAGACAGCUGCGUCUUAAUUGGACGUCUUCCAUUCUUGAUUGGAUGUCUUCGGGCUUCAGCUAUGGACCUACGGUGAUGUUUCCCAUGAAAUUUCGAGUGUGGAACAACAUUUACGUGGUUAAUGCUUCCUUUCUUUGGUCUCUUAUCAAUCAAAUGAAUCAAAACUUAUGCUUUCAAGUGUGUUAUGCUUUUGUUUUAUAUAUAUAUAUAUAUAUAUAUAUAUAUAGAAACAAUAAUGGAAUGACAUUUACAUAUAUUCAAGUCAAUCACAAGUCAUCCCACUCGAAGACUUCAGGAUAGGGCCAUUAAUUUAAAACAAUGCAAUUAGGGGGCAAUGCAAAAGUGCAAAACCAUGGCUAAUACUUUAUUCGGUAUUAUUAAAGGUUUCUAUUUUUUUAUAUAGUAUAAUAACCUUUUAAUAAAAACAAAACUUUCAUAAAUAAAAUUUAAACAUUUUAUGUGUCUCCACAUAGUUAUGAUAUUGUUUUUAUUUUUGAAGUUUCUGACUAAUAACAAAUAUAGUUAUUUUUCAUUUAAAGAUUUAUUUAUUUUAUUUAUUAUUAUUAGGCUUUUCUCGUUUUCAUGUCUCAAAAAAAAAAAAAAAGUUUUGUUCUCAUGAGAUGGUCAAAAAGAAGCUUUACUUGUUUUCAAUUAAGUUCCCUGACAAUGAUCUUCCCUGCAUACAUUUAUACAUGGGAGCCACAAGCGCGGAAACAUCAAAGGAUUCAGCUAUCUUUAGACUUAAGCUUGGUCACUUCAGUUGACUCGUUGACCAAUAAUAGAGUUUUAUUAGAUGAGUUGGUUUUGAUUAGCUUGGGGUUUUGGUGUUAUAUUUAAUUCUUGUAUUAAAACAAUCAAAUUAUAUUAUGAAAUUAAUUAAUUUAAGUGUUUAAAAUUUGAUUUUUAUUUUAUUUUAUUGAGAAUUGAGAUUGAAAAAUAUUCAAGUGAUCAAGAUGCAUUGAUAUGUGGAAAAACUAAAUCCCAUAAAUAAAUUUUAAAAAAAAAUCAAUUUUUUUUUAUAAAAAAUAGCUACCAAGAAUAAUAAUAAAAAAAAUACAAAGUAAACUAAUCACACCAAAGUCCAAAAACUUUGAUUUUUUUCAUAUUGAUUCCUUUAUUUUUUGGACAAAUUGACUCACUUGCUUCAUCAUUUACAAAAAAAAAAACAAGUCAUUUCAAAUUUUGAUAGGUCAUUUAACAUUAAUUAUUCCAAUAGUCAUCAAUUUACAACUUUUAUUAUAUAUAUAUAUAUAUAUAUUUAGCAACUCAAACAAAUGAAUUUGCCUAUUAAUAUAUUAACAGUUUACAUAAUAAACUAUUAAGAAUGAAUAUGUAUUUUAUUUUAUGAAAAUGAAAUUCACAGAUAAUUUGUAUUGUUGAAAAAGUUAUAAUAAUUAUAGUCAAAAUUAAACCCUUGAUUAUCAUAUUGUAUAAGUUUUGCAAGAUAUAAAUUUGGAACAAUGAAAAUACUAAGAUACAAAUUACUAGAUUGUAUAAUUUUAUAUUUUUUUAAAAUUCAUAAAAUCGGUUUGAGUUUACUAAUUUUAUCGAGUUUAAAUAAAUUUGAUGGAUUUUACUAGUUUUAAAAUUUUAAUUUAAUUUUACAUAUUAAAUAUAUAUUAAUUAUAUAAUUUUACAAGUCACACCAUGAUUUUUUUUACCACUAUUAAUUAUGUUGGCGGAAGAAAAGGCAAAGAAACAGCUCUUAAAGAAAAAAGGAAAUCAAGUACGUCAUAAAUGAUACUAGGCAGAUGAAGUCAAGAUAAGGUUCUGUUGGCAAAAGAAAAAGGCAAAGCAAAGCAAAGCAGAAUAAUCCAUCAAAAUUAGUCAUUAAAUUACAGCUCAGAGAGUGAAUUGUGACUAUUAGUCUGGCUGCUAUUCUACAGUCAUGGGUGAAACAAUCAGGCAGAAAAUAGACUGCUCUGGCGACCUUUUCUUCUUCUUUUUAUUUUAUUAUCAUUUCUUUCUUCUUCUUCUUUUUUUUACAUUAGGGCAAUUUUCUUAGACAUGCUGCUGUACGUCAUAUGAUAAUUAUUCUUCAAAAUUAAUAAGUUUCAUAUUCAGCUUUGCGUAAGGAUCAGUGAGUAACGAUGCAAUACUUUUCAUCGAUUUUCCUUUGUGUAUAUUCAUUUCCAUCUUGUAUAGGAGAUCUGUAACUGAUAAAUUGGUAUUUUCAAUACUCAACUUGUCAAGUGACUAGUUGAAGAUUUUACUUGAGGUUUUUCUGUUAGUAUAUCUGCUAUAUAAACAGUCUUCAAAUAUUACUGAAGGGAGUGAAUCAUCACAUCUUUCAAUUCUGCCAUGGAAAAUGGCUUUGACAAUGGAAGCCAUUGAAUUAUGAAGCCAUUAUGUUAAAUAAUAUUCGUUACCAAUAUAUCUUUAUAGAUUUACUGGACAUCUACCUCCAGAGUCGUGUCACAAGAAGUGAUGAAGAUAAAUUCAACAUAGCUAAAAAAAGCUGUAUUUUUUAGAAAUAGAAUAUACCAAAUGGUAAAUUUAAGGUUUGUCCUAAUUUCAAAUUUGACACCUCUGCUUAUUAGAACCGCAAACUUUUGGUCCCUACCAUAUCUCAUACGAAUCUAAUCCUUUUUUUUUCUUCAGAAAAUGAUGGCAUAGAAAUUGAUGCAGCAAGUGAGAAUUAUCAAAUAUCUUAUCAUUGCUAUAUAUUUUGCCAGGGUACCACUUGAGCUGUAAGCUCAGGUGGAGCAUGGACUUGUAAUUAGGGUUACCUGGAUUAUGACAUCAAGUACUGAAAAUAGUGGGGCUACUGUGGUGGCCAUGGAUCUGAUUCACCUAAAUAAAUUCUAUCUGCAUGUGUAUCAUAAAUGGCACAAGUCGAGGAGUGCUGAUUCUACAGCCUGAACAACCAAAUUCACAACAUCUUCCUCUCGCAAAGGGCAUUAAUUUAUAUGAUUAGGUGCAGCGCGACGAGGAACAUAAGAACAAAGAAUUAUGACAUUUACAGGGUGCAAAACUUGUCUGAUUGACGAGGAGCUGAUAAUUUAUCAACACUCCUGACCCUGCCAUUUUCACCGUUUUCUACUUAUACAUUAAAGGCCCGGAUCUUGAGACUGCAAACCGUGGUAGUGGGCUACGACCUGUGCUCCCAGAAGCUGAGCCUUCGACAAGUUUAACUUUUCUGCUUGAACUAUAAUCCAAAGGCCCAGAGCGGCGAACAUUGCUGCGAAGGCUUCCUCUAUCCAUAUCGUACAAAUGGUUCUGGCUAUGGGAUGAUGACCCCUUAAAAUAACCUGAAUCAUUAACACCAUGCUGUGGUGUUGAGUCUCCACGAGGCUGCUUCACUGCAGGUGAUGUGUGAGAUAGUGAUGCAGCAGGUGAAUGGCGGGAUGAGACACUUAGUAGUGCCAGAGGCAUGGAUGGAGAAUUUGAGUAGUACUGGCUAUAAAUUGAACGGAGAAUUGCGUAAGGAACAUAGGCUUCGAGGGAGUUUCUUGGAAGAUACGGUGAGAUCUCACAAAGUUGGUCCAAGAAAAUCAGCUUUGCUACAAGAUUAGAUCUGCACAGAAAGGGGAGAUGAGAUUGAGAUGCAUGAAAUGAUGAGAAAGGAAACAAAUGUCAUAAAGAUAAUCAAAUAGACUAUUCAGAUCAACAUUCCUUUCUCAGUAUUUGAGCUGAAAGAAUUAUUGAUGGAGCCACCCUAGAGAUUUAACUCGAGUUUUUAAGGAAUGAUGCUUGUGGUUUAAAAUAAUUACCAUGAGAUUUUAUGCAAGCAAAAAUCGAUGAAAAUAUGGAACUUGUGUGCAUGUCUGUGUAUUUAUGUGAGGGGCAUGACAGGCAUUGCAUGUUUACCUAUUGGCUUCACUCCAAGAAUCUAGCACAAUACCAGUUGCAAAUUUGACAAAAAGCUGCAUUGCAGACUUUAUACUUGCUUCAGCAGACAAACGGCUAUGUAUUUCAGGAUCCAAAGCCUCAUCAAGAUGGCCAUUAGAGGGAGACUGUUGUCUCUGCUGAUGUUCGCGUUCCAAUCUCACCAACUCACUACCAGCAAUCACAGCACUCAUGCACCUGCAAAGAAUAUUCAAUUGUAAGGAAAAAAUUAAUAUUAAUAAUGGAUAAUAGAAACCAUUUCAUUUACUAGUAGUCAAAAAUGGCAAAUGCAUGACCCUAACUGUGAAUAAAGUUGCCCGGCGGGUGAGACAGAGAAGGCAAGAAGAGUUAAAUACUUCCUCGUAAGACCUCAUAACAGAAUAUACCAUGAUUAGUAGCAAAUGCAGUAGACCUUGGUUCAGUUCAGAAUUUAAAUAUGAUAGUUAAAUGGGAGAUGGCCAGUCACCCAAUCAAAAAUAAUUUGGAUAGAAAUGCCAGGUAUGGGCCACUGACUUCAGAUCACUAGCUCGUAUGCAAUACAUGUUCGAAGAAGCAUUUAACUUCUUGUGUUCAGGAGUAUAUCCAGACCCGUCAAUUCAACAAUAUGGCGGGACAAGAAAAACCAACCUUGCCAGACAAUGGAUAUUGUUGUUGAAGCCCCCUGUAUCAACAUUGAAGCCAGUAGUAUUCCAUAUAUUUGAUGUCAUGAAGGUGGCGAAUAAAUAAGGCAACAAUGUCCAAGAACCAUCAUUUUCACCCCCAACAUCCUCUAGAAUUGAUCUGAUCCAUUCUGAAUCAUGAUCUCCAACUAUAUUAAGACUGUUUGCCACCCCUCUUAUUCUUCUGAUUUCCUUCUUUUCAGAUAUUUCUUCAGGUAUAUGCUUAACCACCCCAGAAAGUAGUGAAUAUAUCAAGGGUGCACCCUCAUCAAGCACGACCCCAGCUGCCUCAGCAAGAAGCUGAGCAAAAGCAAGUGCAUGUCCUCCCUCAAUGCAAAAUCCAAUUACUGUGUCCAAGUCCACAAUCUGCCUGGAACAUGCCUCUCUUUCUAUUCUGUCACCAGAAUGCAUGCUGCCAGCAACUGCCUCUAACACUUCAUGGUUUGACCGUAAUGAUGUGUCAAUGCAAUUCAAGAGUGCUGCUGUGUGCUCUUUCAUCAUUCUGUCUAGCCUGUCAACGCCAUAGCCACCAAAUACACGAACAAAGGCCUGCAAUUCUCUGAGAUCAGUGACCGACUCUGCAAAAUAUCCACCAACAGGCCUCGUGCUUUUAAAGCAUUUGUGGAUUGGUGUAAAAAGGAUUCCAGCACCUGAUACAUCCUUGACAAUGUUUUCUAUGUACCAGUUGCAGACAACUUCAGUGGCCGACCCAGUAAGCUGCUCUGCUGGUUUUUCAAACAAGUGAAGAGAAGACACAGGUCCUGAGAAGGCCUCAAUGUUUUCAAAUUCCUUGUUCACAGUUUCCCAGAUCGAUUCAGCAAAAACAUUCAGUUCCUGCAUGUCACCCAGACCCAAUCUUACCCCAUCAUUCAACAUAUUCUAAACCUCUUCAUCUCUCUCCAUAGUAUAUGCAUCCUUUGGCUGUUUCUGCUUAGUAAACCUGGAAUUCCCCUGUUUAAUACCCGAUUCCAUUGAUUCUGAAGAGCUAUCUUCCUGGUGCUCCACUGUUUCUUGAAUGCUGCCGGUUUUGGAUUGAAGUUUAACUUUUCUUCUACUCCUUCUAAGUACCAUGUGGUGAGCAGGAUUUGUCUGAUCAAUUGAUGCCCCUGUUAUGUCAAAAUUUGUGCUUCACAAUUCUUUUCCAAUGCAUUACACGCUGCACUGAUGCUGUUACCAAUGGAAGGGCUGUCUGCUGACGUGAGAAGACCAUGUUUGAUUUCUGGGAACAGCAACUCCACUGGUAGAUCCAAAUCCUUGCUGCACAAUUUUUUUCCCAUACAUUAGACUCUGAACUGAUGCUAUUGUCAAUGGCGAAAUUCUCUGAUAGCAUGUGAAGGUCAUCUUUGAUUUCUGGGAACAUAAAUUCAACUUGUAGAUUCAGUAGAUGAUGUUGUGAGGUCUGGUAGUCGUUACACAUCAUCUCACAUUCACCCUCACGUUUUAAAUUUAAUGUAAAAUAAUUAUUCAAUUUAAAAAUCUAAACUCUAACAUCAAUUUAAACAACCAUUCAACCUAAAAAUAUCCCUUAAACUACAUGUAAAAGCAGAAACAAAUAAAACAAAAAAUUAUCUCUGGAAUUAAAUCAAUGAAUACCAAGAUACUUCAAAUUGUCAAAACAUUAUGAUAUUAUUAAAGUUAAAUUAUGUAUUAUUUUCACCCUUAUUAAUUUUAAGCAAAUAUUUUUUAUAAAAAAUUAAGUGAUAAAAUAGUUUGUUUUUAAAAAAUAAAUAAUAAUUAAGAAUUUAAAUUCAAUAAAUACCGAGAAAAUAAAUGCAGUAUUUAUUUUUUAUUUUAGUUUUAUAAUAUACAAUUUUAAAUUCAAUUUUAAUCAAUAAAAAAUUUUAAGCACCGGUUAUGAAAAACUAUUAAAAUUUAUAAAAUUUGAGUUAGGUAUUUUUAAUGAGUGUAAGAGAUAUUACUAUUUCUGUUUGAAAAUAAUUAAUAAAGAAAAUAAAAUAAAUAUAGUAAUAAUAGAUAUCACAAUAUUUAAAUUAAAACAUGAUACAUAUAAUUAAAUUAUUAAAUAAUUUAUUAUAUAUGAAUAAUAGAUAAUUAAAUUUUGUUUUGCCACCUGCUUAUAUAUAUAUAUAUGAAUGGUUACGUGAUAUGUUGUCUAAAAUUUCCUUUUGAAUAGUUACAGAGAAGAAGGAAUGUUCAAUUGCUUGUAGCUAGACAACUAUAGUUUGCCGUUGUUGAAGUGAAGUUUCUUUUGAAAAAAAAAAAAACCUUGUCUUUGGGCUUCACCUAUCAAUGGUGACAUUCGCUAUGAAAUCUCAAAUUUGGAAAUUUUGUCAAUUAUUUAAGAAAAUAGAAAGCAGUGGCCACUUCUUUUAGGACAAGUUUGUUUUAAUUGUGGAAAUAAAGGGAGUGGUUUUUAUUAUAUCAUCAAGAUUUUUAGUUGUAUUACUGAUUUGGCAAUAUUUAAAGAAGCUUAUUAUCAUUACCAAUUAAAAAAUAAAAUCAAGAGCUUAUUGUCGCACCCGACAUCGCGGCGGCCCUAAAAAUUAAUUCUCUUGAAUUACAGAAAAAGAACAGAUUUUUGGCAUCCAGUUCUUUUAGGGGAAAAGGUAUUGUUUGAAGAGUCGCCACCUAGUAUUAUGGUCACUAGGAACCCUAACUGGUCAACAGAGAUUCUAUGGCUCGGGAUUGGUUACGUAAAAGGGAAGAUAUUAUCACCUCUUAAACGUUCUGCCUGAGGCAGACUGCAUUGCUGUUUUAUCUUAAAUUGUUAAAUGUUUAUUAAUUUAUGCUAUGAUGAUUUGUUUAUAAUAUUCAUGACUCUGACGCUAGUGAAUAUUCAAGCUCGAAUAAUUCCAACUCUUGAGUUGGUAAAAAUUCGUAGCUACAAAAAUUAAAUUAAAUCAAUAUAUUUUUAUUCCCUACUCUAGCAUCCGUGAAUAAAUAAAUAAAAAACAAAUUUAUUAUUAUUUUUUAUUUUUGCAUGCACAUAUUUUUUUUAUUUUUCUAGCUAAAUAAAAUAAAAUACAACGAAUAAAAAUAAUAUAAAUUUAAACCGGUAUUUUUAUUCUUGACUCUGACGUCAGUGAAUAAACCAAUAAAUUUAUAUUAUUUUUAUUCAUGCAUACAUUUUUUUUAUUUUUUAUUUUUCUAUUUUUUUAAUAUAUUUUUUAUGUUUUUUGGAAGGGCUGGGCCUGGCCCGGCCACUGGCCCAAGCCAGUGGCCCGGUUGGGCUGCAGGCACGCGUGGUUCAGACCACGCGUGCGCUGCACAGGGUGAAGGUAAUUAAAUUACCUUCGCCCCUGUUCUUUCUCUUUUAAUCUAAUGUGCAGAAACGAAGAUAAAAAGAAAGUCUUACCUGGCUAUUCGAAGGCGCAGGCGAAAGCAACAGUUCGAGCACUCUCGGAGAAUUCUCUCUUCCUCCUCCUCUCAGUCUCUUCCCCUCUGUUCGUCUGCUGUUCCUUUUCUUUUUGUUUUUUCCCGGUUUUUUCAGUCUUCGUGAUGAAGAACAGAGGGCGUUGCUGGCUUCUCUUUUCGAAUUUGGGUCUGGGUUUUUUGCUCUGUAUGUGGCUUGCGUUUUUUUGCUCUGGUUUUCGGUCUGUGUUUCUCUGGUUUUUUGCCGUCUGUGGUUGCUAAGAAACAGACGAAGACGAUGAUAUAUGUAGGUGUGGUGGCUGGAAAAAAAAACUUCCCCCACCUCUGUUUCGUUCUUUCUCUGUGAUCUCUCUGUUUUUUCCCUGCCGCUUUUCCUUUGUUUAUUUUUUCUCGUUUCUGUUCUCUGAGAAGAAACAAGGAAAACACCUUUAUUCUGGUUCGCCCUCUGUCUUCGUUUUCUGCCGAUCGUGGCUUUUUUUCUUUUUUCCCUCCCUCUUUUUUUUUGUUUCGUUGUUUUCUCCGGCUUUAUAGCCACAGAAUUCCACCGUUACCAGGUAAUUAAUCGACUGUUAUUGCAGGAGUAAUGGUGGCGGCCGGCAGCUGAAGCGUUGAAGAAGAUGAACAGUGCUGUGUUCAAUGGCCAUUUGCAUUUUGGUCCUUGGAAUUCUGAAAUCGUGCAAUCAAGCCCCUGGAUAAAAUUUAACUUUGGACCCCUUUAUUUCGGCGCUUUUCCAAUGUAGUCCUUGGAUGUUCAAUUUCGAAAUUUGGACCCCAAACCUUAAUAGUUCUUCAAUUAAGCCCCUUAAUAAGUUAAUUUAAUUAAAUCCAAAGUCCAAUUAAGUCUAAAACUUAUCAAUUCUCUAAUUAAACCCCUGAUUGAAUUAAUAAAAUUAAUUACAAUCUUAAUUAAGUCUCCAAACUUAUCAAUUUUUCAAUUAAAUCCUUAACUGGAUUAAUUAAAUUAAUUCCAAGCUUAAUUAAGUCUCAAAACUUAUUAAUUCUCCAAUUAAAUCCUUGAUUGGAUGAAUUAACUUAAUUUCAAGCUUAAUUAAGUCUAAAAAUUUAUCAAUUCUCCAAUUAAACUCUUAAUUGGAUUAAAUAAAUUAAUUUCAAGCUUAAUUAGAUUAAUUACAAAGUUUAAUUAAACCCCAAAACUUCCAUUCAUAUUGCCCUUAACCCAAAAUUUAAUUUAUACUUCAUUUAUUUUAUUUUACUUGUUUUUUCCAUUAUCAUUAUUUUUUUCAUCAAUUUUUUUAUCCUUUUUAAUAAAUAAAAUAAUAAUAAAGAUAAAAUAAUCAAAAAUUGAGUUAUGACACUUAUUAUAAUUCAUUAUCGUUUAUUGGAAAACAAAAAAAAGGAGAAAAUAUGUUGAUUUCUUCCAUUGUUGCUAAAGAAAACUAAAAAUAUGUGAAAUAUUUCACCUGUCGAAUUUACGCUCGAAAUGGGAAAACUCUGUUUCUUGUUUCUGCAUAUAAUAUACAUAAUAAAUAGACGAAAUGUAAGACUUUGGACUGAAUAUCCAAGACAGAUAAUAACACCUCAUGAAAGGUGUGGGACUCUAUUACCAGCUGAGCUACUGGAUCCUUGACAGGAAAGUAUAUGUAAAAAUUCAACCCUUAACAUUCCUGUGAACCAGUUCAUCUUCCAAUUCUAUCGUGGAGAAUAGCUUUGGCAAUGGUGGCGAACGAGUUGUAAGCUCUGUAGCAACUUGUCGCAUUGUUGGCCGAUAAUGGGGAUCGGUCUGCAAGCAAGCAAACGCUAGUUUUGCAACGUGUGCCACACCGUCCGCAAGCUCGUUUUCAGGAGGUGGCAGGCGCUGGUCUAAAACAUCCUUCAAGAUUGUAUUGUGACCGCUUGGUGAUGAUGAGGAGGUGGAAGCAGAAAACAUCAGAGAUGAGAUGAAAUCGCCAGGAUGCUUUCCCAUCGUUACUUCCAAUGUUAAUACUCCAAAGCUAUAAACAUCACAUUUUUCAUCUACUUUCAUUGUGUAUGCCAACUCUGCAAAAGAGGCUGGUCAUGCUAUAUUUUGCCAAACUAAUUUACUGCAGCUAUUUUGUUUUCAAGUGAUUUUGUAAACUAACCUACUAUAAAAGGUGAUAUUGAAACUUAACUUCAUACCUGGAGCUGUAUACCCAAAGGUGCCAGCAAAUGAAGUCCAAUUGGAUGAGUCAGGCAUUAAGAUCCUCGUUUGUGCCGAAGUCAGAGACACGAGCCUCAUAUUCUGAAUCCAAAAGAACAUUGUUGCUGGAAAUGUCUCUAUGAAUAAUCGGAGGGGAGCAGUCAUGGUGCAUGUAGGAUAAAGCAUUGGCUACGCCUUUGAUAAGAUUCAUCCUUUUAUCCCAAUCCAUCUUUCCUGCUUGUUCCUUGUCGUUCAGUACCUUUCUUAAACUUCCCCUUUCCACAAAUUCAUAUACCAAAAAUGAGUGUUUGGCAUGCGAGCAGAAACCAUACAGCUUCACAAUAUUUCGAUGCCGUAUACCCAUUAAGACAUCAAUCUCGCUUCUAAAAGCUUUCAAGCUGCUCAUCUCAACUUCUGGUGUUCGGUGAAACUUCUUCACGGCAACGACUUGUUCUGAUGGAAGUGCAGCUUUGUAAACAACUCCAUACCCUCCAGUACCAAUGCAAUAUUUGGAGUCGAAUUCCUCAGUAGCCUCAAUGAUGUCCUCGUAGCGCAGUUCCCCUUCAGGGCACCAUCUCGCGUGAACAUCUCUUUGAGGUGUUUCCAUUAACCUUUUCUUUCUUCUGCUUUGGAAAAAGAUAAGAAAUCCUACAAUCAGGCCCAACAAACUACCCAGCAGAGAAAAUACUGUCAAAAAGACAACUUUGGGGCCCUUCUUGUGCACAGUUUUGUUUUUCAUGAGAACAGAACAAGCCUCCAAACCGGGUAGCAUUCCCACACAGGUUGGUGUUGUUGCAAAUUGCUUCAAAUGGUGCCUCGCGAAAGGCUUUGAUGUCAGGAAUGAGACCCUCUAGCUUGUUAUAGGAUACAUCCACUUUAGUGAGGCCUUGCAGUCUACUAAAACUGGUUGGAAUUAGACCAGACAGCAUAUUGUGGGAGAGGUUCAGAAACUCUAGCUGCUGCAGCUGUCCAAGCUCCGGUGCUAUAUCUCCCAUCAGGGAAUUCCAACUGAGAUCAAGACUUUGAAGAGACUGUAAAGACCCCAUCUCAGCAGGAAUAUUCCCUGUGAAUCUAUUCUUGCUCAUAUUCAAGAAUAUCAGUUUUGAGCAGUUGCCAAGCUGUUUAAGAAUUGUUGCACUAAAAUUGUUCGCGGCCAGGUCAAGCCUUUGGAGAUCAGAUAGCGAUGUGAAAUCGAAAGGAAUAUCACCUGAAAGUUUGUUAUCGUUGAGUGCAAGUUCAAUUAACUUUAAAUUUCCCAAUUCUUUUGGAAUUCUCCCAACUAGUUGAUUUGACGAGAGGUCAAGAACUUGUAGAUGAGUUGCCUUUCCAAGAGCAGCUGGUAUUAUUCCAGAGAUUUUGUUUCCAGAAAUUUUGAAGACUGUCAGAUUGUUAAACUGAUCCCAUUUCCAUGAAAGUUCACCAUGCAAUUCAUUAUCACUCAAACCCAUGUAGUACAAAUAGGGAUGUGUGCCAAAAGCUUCAGAUAUGUUUCCACUAAGCUGGUUUCUCUCAAGUCUGAGUCUCAACAAGCUGCUGCAAUUUCUCAAGCUUUUUGGGAUAGGUCCCGUGAAAUAAUUGCCCGACGCACUAAAAUAUGAAAGUAAUCCACCAAGGCACACAUCUCGUGGUAGAUUACCAGACAAUUUAUUAGAAUAUAUUUGUAACAAAUAUAAAUGUGUAAGAUUGUUCAUUUCUGGAGGAAUGGGACCAAAAAGACUGUUAUUCGCAAGGAGAAGUUUAGAUAAGAUUAUUAAAUUUCCUAAAGAUGCUGGUAUUGUACCAUUUAGAUUAUUAUAUGACAAAUCUAAAGAAGUGAGAUAUCUCGUGAGGUUUCCAAUAGACGCAGGUAUUUUACCAGUGAGAAAAUUUUGUUUUAAUUGAAGGAAAUUGAGAGAUUUCAUAUUUCCUAUGGAAGUAGGGAUUGGACCUUCAAAAUUAUUAUCGGACAACUGAAGGGUUAAUAGGUCUUCAAGCAUUCCUACUUCUCUAGGUAAGAAACCAGAGAGUUUGUUUUUGUAAAGGUAAAGAAAAGACAAGUUGCUUAAGUUUCCUAUGGACGUAGGAAGAACACCACUAAGGUUGUUAUUUGACAAAUCAAGCAAAUCAAGAGAUCUCAAUUUUCCAACUUCUGGUGGUAUGCCACCAGAAAGUUGAUUUCCAUUGAGAUAAAGAUCAGUUAAGUGGCUCAAAUUGCUUAUAGACGCAGGCACUAAUCCUCCGAGAUCAUUUUCAUGCCAAAUUAUUUGAGAAAGUGAACUCAACAUUCCUAUUUCAUUAGGGAUGGAGCCACCGAUAUGGUUUGCAGACAGGGUAAACACUCUAAUGCUUUUCAUUGUGCUUAUUUCUGAUGGAAUGUUGCCAGAAAUGCUAUUGUAAGACAAGUCAAGGAUGGAGAGGUUAGAAAGGUUACCUAUAUGUGAAGGAACGGACCCAUAGAGGGAGUUGUUGCGAAGGAUAAGCUCCAUCAAGUUAGGAAAGGAAGAGAAUCGGAGACUAUUAAGCGUACCUCUCAAACUAGAAUUAGGCAGGCUUAUGUUGGUAACACUACCGGACUUGUCGCAACUGAUUCCGACCCAGUUGCAAGGGCUGUCUCCAGCCCAAGAAGACAGGAGAGACUGGCUUCGGUUGUCAAGACUGACUUUCCAUUCUAGAAGAGCUUCCGCUUCCUUCCUUCCAUUUGCUAUUUCAGCUCCGGCAGCCGAGUAAGCAAAAGAAGUAAAGAAGGAAGCAUAAAAAAGUAAGGAAAAAAACAAGGAAGGUAUGGAUAAGAGCAAGAUUUGGGAAGCCAUGGCCUUGGUUGUUUACUUUCUUGAGGAUGUAUAAAAUGAUUAGCCCUGCAUACGUAUAUAAUGGGAGCCAUAAGGUUGGAAUACCCUUUGUGCAGGAAUUCGUUUGUCUUGGUCAUGAUCGAAAAUUUCUUUAGAAGAUAGGCAGUGGCUUCUUAAUUGGACGUCUUCCAUUCUUUUUUAUUAUUAUUAUUAUUUCUAACGUAGAUAUUCGCAUCAAUUUAUAUGCACCUCGACUAAUUUAAUGGGUUCUAAAAUUAAUAGCCAUAUAAGUUUUCAGUGACCUUAAAUAGACUCGAAUUUGUGACUAUUAGGAAGCAAACCUAAGACCUGACAAAUUGAGCUACCCCUCAGGAUUGGAGGUCUUCCAUUCUUUUUUUAUUAUUAUUAUUCACGUGGGGUAUCCGGAUCAGUUUGCGCGCACCUCGACUAAUCCUCAUGGGCCUUAAAGUUAUCAAUCAGGUAAGCUUCCAGUGACCAUAAAUAUUAACAACCAUAAAACUCGAUCUUGAGAUCAUAAAAAAAAAAAAAUCUCUUGAUUUUAGGUUUUUAUUACUAGACUAGCUAGUAGACGGUAAAUGUCUUCCAUUCUUGGAUGUCUUCUGGUUUCAGCUAUGGAUGGACCUACGGUGAUGUCUUCCAUUCACGUGGUUAAUGUUUUUGUUAUAUCCUUCUUCCUUUCUUUGGUCUCUUAUCAAUCAAAUGAAUCCACUUCGAAAAGUUUCUUUGGAAGAUUUCUUUUUUUUGUUAAUUUUUUUAUAGAAACAAUUAGCGCAAAGAAUAUUGGAUGAAAACUUGCAGAAAGAAAAUUAGGAGCAUUGGCCACCAGUGAGCUGUAGAUAUUCAAGUCAAUCACAAGUCAUCCCACUACAAGACCUUAGGAUAGGGCCAAUAAUUUAAACCAGUAAAGGUGCAAUUAGGGGGGGGGAAUGCAAAAGUGCAAAACCAUGCCUAAUAAUUUAUUCGGUAUUAUUAAAGUUUUCUAUUUUUUUAUAGUAAUAACCUUUUAAUAAAAACAAAACUUGUGAUUGACUUGGUCAACACCUCAUUUUGUUUGUCUUGGUCAGUGGUCAUGAUCGAAAAUUUCUUAUGUGGACACGUAAAAAGAAGAUAGACAGUUGCGUCUGAAGAGGGGUAGAAUACUAUGGUCUUCCAUACAAUAAUUGCGUGAUAGGAGGAGCACGUGUAUUUGUCAUAAUUAAUUAUUAGAAUAUUUAUGUUGGGGUUUCAGCUAUGGAUCCAUUAAUUCUCGGAUGAUUUUAUUUUUUUUAAUGAAAUACAAGAGAUGUAUUAUUUUGCACCAUUAUGUGCUUAUAUAAUAAGAUUAUUAUAUUCCAUGAUUAAAAAAAAAAUACGAAACUCUGCAUUGGGUGAUCAUCCUUCAAGCAUUUUUAUAUUUUUUUCUUGUUGUUUCUUCUAGUUUUUCAUUGCUUGUGUUAAACAACAAAUCUAACUCUAUCUCUCUCCGUAAUUACCCGAAUUAUUUUAGGUUUUAUCUAUGAUGUGAAAUCCGAACUUUACAAUUAAUAAUAGCUGGCUUGUACCCCACCAUUCCAUGACUCCUGAUUAUUAUUAAGAGAUGGAGACUAUUUGUAUACUGUCGGUCCUUGACUUGGAUGUGAAUAGCGUGUUUAUUUUUCUUCAUGUUUUUGAAAAAAAUAUUUUUUCUAAAAAAAAAAACAAGGCAUUCUUGUUUCGAAUAGGAAACAAGAAUUUAUUAUUUAAUAGAUUUUUCCGUUUUAAUAUCUUAGAGAGCUUCUGCCUGUUUCCUUCCAUUUGCUACUUCAGCUCCAGUACCUGAGUAAGCAAAAGAAGUAAAGAAGGAAGCAUAAGCAAGUAAAGAAAUAAACAACAAAAGGUAUGGAUGAGAGCAAGAUUUGGGAAGCCAUGGCCUUGGUGGUUUACUUUCUCAUGGAGGAUAUAUAAAAAAUGAUUUGCCCUGCAUGUGUAUAUAAUUUCCUAUGGGAAUUCAUUUGUUUUAACUGCCAUUCUACAGCCAUUGGUGAAAACAAUCAGGCAGAAAAUGGACUGCUCUGUCGCCCUUUUCUUCUUCUUUUUAUUUUAUUAUUAUUUCUUUCUUCUUCUUCUUCUUCUUCUUCACAUUAGGGCAAAAGAAAUACUGUAUAGGAGAUCUAUGACUGAUAAAUUGGCGUGUAGGUAUUUUCAACACUCAACUUGUCAAGUGACUUGUUGGAGAUUUUAAUUCAGGUUUUUCUGUUAGUAUAUCUGCUAUAUAAACAGUCUUCAAAUAUUACUGAAGGGAGUGAAUCAUCACAUCUUUCAAUUCUGCCAUGGAAAAUGGCUUUGACAGUGGAAGCCAUUGAAUUAUGAAGUCCUGUACGUCAAGUAAUAUUCGUUACCAAUAUAUCCUUAUAGAUUUACUGGACAUCUACCUCCAGAGUCGUGUCACAAGAAGUGAUGAAGAUAAAUUCAACAUAGCUAAAAAAAGCUGUAUUUUUUAGAAAUAGAAUAUACCAAAUGGUAAAUUUAAGGUUUGUCCUAAUUUCAAAUUUGACACCUCUGCUUGUUAGAACCGCAUACUUUCGGUCCCUACCAUAUCUCAUACGAAUCUAAUCCUUUUUUUUUCUUCAGAAAAUGAUGGCAUAGAAAUUGAUGCAGCAAGUGACAAUUAUCAAAUAUCUUACCAUUGCUAUAUAUUUUGCUAGGGUACCACUUGAGCUGUAAGCUCAGGCGUAGCAUGGACUUGUAAUUAGGGUUACCUGGAUUAUGACAUCAAGUACUGAAAAUAGUGGGGCUACCGUGGUGGCCAUGGAUCUGAUUCACCUAAUAAAAUUCUAUCUGCAUGUGUAUCAUAAAUGGCACAAGUCGAGGAGUGCUGAUUCUACAGCCUGAGCAACCAAAUUCACGACAUCUUCCUCUCGCAAAGGGCAUUAAUUUAUAUGAUUAGGUGCAGCGCGACGAGGAACAUAAGAACAAAGAAUUAUGACAUUUACAGGGUGCAAAACUUGUCUGAUUGACGAGGAGCUGAUAAUUUAUCAACACUCCUGACCCUGCCAUUUUCACCGUUUUGGGAAGAUAUGGGAAGCCAUGGCCUUGGUGGUUUACUUUCUUAAGGAGGAUGUAUAAAAUGACUAGCCCUGCAUACGUAUAUAUAUGCAGGAAUUCAUUUGUCUUGGUCAUGAUCGAAGAUUUCUUAAGAAGAUAGACAGCUGCGUCUUAAUUGGACGUCUUCCAUUCUUGAUUGGAUGUCUUCGGGCUUCAGCUAUGGACCUACGGUGAUGUUUCCCAUGAAAUUUCAAGUGUGGAACAACAUUCACGUCGUUAAUGCUUUUGUUAUACCCUUCUUCCUUUCUUUAGUCUCUUAUCAAUCAAAUGAAUCAAAACUUAUGCUUUCAAGUGUGUUAUGCUUUUGUUAUUUUUAUAUAUAUAUAUAUAUAUAUAUAUAGAAACAAUAAUGGAAUGACAUUUACAUAUAUUCAAGUCAAUCACAAGAGUCAUCCCACUCGAAGACUUCAGGAUAGGGCCAUUAAGGAUUAUGAUUUUAUUUAUUAUUAUUUACAUAUAUUCAAGUCAAUCACAAGUGUGUUAUGCUUUUAUUUGUUCUGACUAAUAACAAAUAUAGUUAUUUUUCAUUUAAGGAUUUAUUUAUUUUAUUUAUUAUUAUUAGGCUUUUCUCGUUUUCAUGUCUCAAAAAAAAAAAAAAAAGUUUCUUCUCAUGAGAUGGUCAAAAAGAAGCUUUACUUGUUUUCAAUUAAGUUCCCUGACAAUGAUCUUCCCUGCAUACAUUUAUACAUGGGAGCCACAAGGCGGAAACAUCAAAGGAUUCAGCUAUCUUUAGACUUAAUGGUCACUUCAGUUGACUCGUUGACUCAAUAAUAGAGUUUUUAUUAGAUGAGUUGGUUUUGAUUAGUUUGGAUUAUGUUUAAAUUCAAUUAGGUGAUAUAAUUCGGUGUUAUAUUUAAUUCUUGUAUUAAAAUAAUCAAAUUAUAUUAUGAAAUUAUGAAAUUAAUUAAUUUAAGUGUUUAAAUUUUGAUUUUUUUUAUUGAGGAUUGAGAUUGAAAAAUAUUCAAGUGAUCAAGAUGCAUUGACAUGUGGAAAAAAUAAAUCCCAUAAAUAAAUUUAAAAACAAAUCAAUUUUUUUUAUAAAAAAUAGCUACCAAGAAUAAUAAUAAAAUAAAAUACAAAGUAAACUAAUCACACCAAAGUCUAAAAACUUUGAUUUUUUUCAUAUUGAUUCCUCUAUUGUUUAGACAAAUUAACUCACUUGUUUCAUCAUUUACAAAAAACAAGUCAUUUCAAAUUUUGAUACGUCAUUUAACAUUAAUUAUUCUAAGAGUCAAGCAUGUCAAUUUAUAAUUUUUAUUAUAUAUAUAUAUAUAGCAACUCAAACAAACGAAUUUGUCUAUUAAUAUGUUAACAGUUUACAUAAGAAACUGUUAAGAAUGAAUAUGUAUUUUUAUUUUAUGAAAAUAAAAUCCAUAGAUAAUUUGUAUUAUUGAAAAAAUUAUAAUAAUUAUAGUCAAAAUCAAACCCUUGAUUAUCAUAUUGUAUAAGUUUUGCAAGAUAUAAAUUUGGAACAAUGAAAAUACUAAGAUACAAAUUACUAAAUUGCAUAAUUUUAUAUAUUUUUUAAAAUUCAUAAAAUUGAUUUAAGUUUACUAAUUUUAUUGAGUUUAAAUGAAUUUGAUGGAUUUUAUUAGUUUUAAAAUUUUAAUUUAAUUUUACAUAUUAAAUAUAUAUUAAUUAUAUAAUUUUACAAGUCACACCAUAAUUUUUUAACCACCAUUAAUUAUGUUGGCGAAAGAAAAGGCAAAGAAACAGCUCUUAAAGAAAAAAGGAAAUCAAGUACGUCAUAAAUGAUACUAGGCAGAUGAAGUCAAGAUAAGGUUCUGUUGGCAAAAGAAAAAGGCAAAGCAAAGCAAAGCAGAACAAUCCAUCAAACUUACAGCUCAGAGAGUGAAUUGUGACUAUUAGUCUGGCUGCUAUUCUACAGUCAUGGGUGAAACAAUCAGGCAGAAAAUAGACUGCUCUGGCGACCUUUUCUUCUUCUUUUUAUUUUAUUAUUAUUUCUUUCUUAUGAGGUGACUGUCAUAUUUCUUUCUUAGUUAGGAACCUAACCCCACAAAUUGAGGUGUCUGUCAAAUAACAUUCAUAUGCUCAAAAUAAAUAAAUAAAUAAAAGAAAUAUGAGAGAUGUCAAUGUAUUGGCCAAUGACGUGCUGCUGAACAUCAUAUGAUAAUUAUUCUGCAAAAUUAAUAAGUUUCAUAUUCAGCUUUGCAUAAGGAUCAGUGAGUAAAGAUGCAAUACUUUUCAUCGAUUUUCCUUUGGGUGUAUAUUCAUUUCCAUCUUGUAUAGGAGAUCUGUAACUGAUAAAUUGGUGUGGAGGUAUUUUCAAUACUCAACUUGUCAAGUGACUAGUUGAAGAUUUUACUUGAGGUUUUUCUGUUAGUAUAUCUGCUAUAUAACUCACAUCUUUCAAUUCUGCCAUGGAAAAUGGCUUUGACAAUGGAAGCCAUUGAAUUAUGAAGCCAUUAUGUUAAAUAUUAUUCGUCACCAAUAUAUCUUAAUAGAUUUACUUGACAUCUACCUCCAGAGUCGUGUCACAAGAAGUGAUGAAGAUAAAUUCAACAUAGCUAAAAAAAGCUGUACUUUUUAGAAAUAAAAUUCUAUCUGCAUGUGUAUCAUAAAUGGCACAAGUCGAGGAGUGCUGAUUCUACAGGCUGAGCAACCAAAUUCACAACAUCUUGCUCUCGCAAAGGGCAUUAAUUUAUAUGAUUAGGUGCAGCGCGACGAGGAACAUAAGAACAAAGAAUUAUGACAUUUACAGGGUGCAAAACUUGUCUGAUUGACGAGGAGCUGAUAAUUUAUCAACACUCCUGACCCUGCCAUUUUCACCGUUUUCUACUUAUACAUUAAAGGCCCGGAUCUUGAGACUGCAAACCGUGGUAGUGGGCUACGACCUGUGCUCCCAGAAGCUGAGCCUUCGACAAGUUUAACUUUUCUGCUUGAACUAUAAUCCAAAGGCCCAGAGCGGCGAACAUUUCGAUGUUUAUUAUCCGUGCUGCGAAGGCUUCCUCUAUCCAUAUCGUACAAAUGGUUCUGGCUAUGGGAUGAUGACCCCUUCAAAUAACCUGAAUCAUUAACACCAUGCUGUGGUGUUGAGUCUCCACGAGGCUGCUUCACUGCAGGAGAUGUGUGAGAUAGUGAUACAGCAGGUGAAUGGCGGGAUGAGACACUUCGUAGUGCCAGAGGCAUGGAUGGAGAAUUUGAGUAGUACUGGCUAUAAAUUGAACGCAGAAUUGCGUAAGGAACAUAGGCUUCGAGGGAGUUUCUUGGAAGAUACGGUGAGAUCUCACAAAGUUGGUCCAAGAAAAUCAGCUUUGCUACAAGAUUAGAUCUGCCCAGAAAGGGGAGAUGAGAUUGAGAUGCAUGAAAUGAUGAGAAAGGAAACAAAGGUCAUAAAGAUAUUCAAAUAGACUAUUCAGAUCAACAUUCCUUUCUCAGUAUUUGAGCUGAAAGAAUUAUUGAUGGAGCCACCCUAGAGAUUUAACUCGAGUUUUUAAGGAAUGAUGCUUGUGGUUUAAAAUAAUUACCAUGAGAUUUUAUGCAAGCAAAAAUCGAUGAAAAUAUGGAACUUGUGUGCAUGCCUGUGUAUUUAUGUGAGGGGCAUGACAGGCAUUGCAUGUUUACCUAUUGGCUUCACUCCAAGAAUCUAGCACAAUACCAGUUGCAAAUUUGACAAAAAGCUGCAUUGCAGACUUUAUACUUGCUUCAGCAGACAAACGGCUAUGUAUUUCAGGAUCCAAAGCCUCAUCAAGAUGGCCAUUAGAGGGAGACUGUUGUCUCUGCUGAUGUUCGCGUUCCAAUCUCACUAACUCACUACCAGCAAUCACAGCACUCAUGCACCUGCAAAGAAUAUUCAAUUGUAAGGAAAAAAUUAAUAUUAAUAAUGGAUAAUAGAAACCAUUUCAUUUACUAGUAGUGCAAAAAUGGCAAAUGCAUGACCCUAACUGUGAAUAAAGUUGCCCGGCGGGUGAGACAGAGAAGGCAAGAAGAGUUAAAUACUUCCUCGUAAGACCUCAUAACAGAAUAUACCAUGAUUAGUAGCAAAUGCAGUAGACCUUGGUUCAGUUCAGAAUUUAAAUAUGAUAGUUAAAUGGGAGAUGGCCAGUCACCCAAUCAAAAAUAAUUUGGAUAGAAAUGCCAGGUAUGGGCCACUGACUUCAGAUCACUAGCUCGUAUGCAAUACAUGUUCGAAGAAGCAUUUAACUUCUUGUGUUCAGGAGUAUAUCCAUACCCGUCAAUUCAACAAUAUGGCGGGACAAGAAAAACCAACCUUGCCAGACAGUGGAUAUUGUUGUUGAAGCCCCCUGUAUCAACAUUGAAGCCAGUAGUAUUCCAUAUAUUUGAUGUCAUGAAGGUGGCGAAUAAAUAAGGCAACAAUGUCCAAGAACCAUCAUUUUCACCCCCAACAUCCUCUAGAAUUGAUCUGAUCCAUUCUGAAUCAUGAUCUCCAACUAUAUUAAGACUGUUUGCCACCCCUCUUAUUCUUCUGAUUUCCUUCUUUUCAGAUAUUUCUUCAGGUAUAUGCUUAACCACCCCAGAAAGUAGUGAAUAUAUCAAGGGUGCACCCUCAUCAAGCACGACCCCAGCUGCCUCAGCAAGAAGCUGAUCAAAAGCAAGUGCAUGUCCUCCAUCAAUGCAAAAUCCAAUUACUGUGUCCAAGUCCACAAUCUGCCUGGAACAUGCCUCUCUUUCUAUUCUGUCACCAGAAUGCAUGCUGCUAGCAACUGCCUCUAACACUUCAUGGUUUGACCGUAAUGAUGUGUCAAUGCAAUUCAAGAGUGCUGCUGUGUGCUCUUUCAUCAUUCUGUCUAGCCUGUCAACGCGAUAGCCACCAAAUACACGAACAAAGGCCUGCAAUUCUCUGAGAUCAGUGACCGACUCUGCAAAACACAUCCACCAACAGGCCUCGUGCUUUUAAAGCAUUUGUGGAUUGGUGUAAAAAGGACUCCAGCACCUGAUACAUCCUUGAUAAUGUUUUCUAUGUACCAGUUGCAGACAACUUCAGUGGCCGACCCAGUAAGCUGCUCUGCUGGUUUUUCAAACAAGUGAAGAGAAGACACAGGUCCUGAGAAGGCCUCAAUUAGUAGAACUUCUUGAAUACCAUGAGUAAGGUCCAUGCUGAUAUGUUGCUCUGCUAGAAAAACAAUUUUCAAAUGCCUGUGAAUCAAGGACUCCAGGACAGAAGGCCGUUGAAGAUCAUUGUCAGCUUUUAAUACUGCAAGCAAUCUCCUCCUGAAGUUGCCAAGUAUGCCCUCUCUCAUGUACUGCAAAGAAGACUACAAUGUCAUACCAGAACCCCAACAUUUUGAUAUUGUUUGAGUUGACACACUGACCAUGCUAUUGCACAGCAUAUGGAUUAAAAAGAAGUAAAUCACACCCCUUCUUGUUCAGCGAAAAAAGCACUACAUUUCUUGAUAGUUUUAUAUGGCUUGAUGCAUCCCAUCCUAAUUAAGUAAGAUUUUUUGACACAUAAUAAUUAAAUAAAAAUGAAAAAAAUAACAAAAUAAUUAAAAUUAACUAAAAUUACUGAAAAUAUAUAUUUUUAGGAUUUACAAAUUUUGAAACAUGUAUAAAAAUGGGGCUAAGAAAUUGAGUUACAACAAGAUCAUUAUUAUUUAUCAGAUUUAUCUAUAUCCAUUAAGGAUAUCUUAUUAGACUUUGGAUUUUUUUAUAGUAUAAAUACUCUUUUGUAUAAACUUUUUGAGGUUAGACUAUUUUAAUAAAAAAAUCGGUGUUCUUGCUAUCUUUAAGAAGAGAUUAUAGGGGGUGUUUAAAAGUGUGGUAACGGUUACUUUUCAAAGUAUUUUUUACUUGGAAAUACAUUAAAAUAACAUUUAAAAAAAAAUUAUUUUUUAUAUCAAUAUAUCAAAAAAAUCAAAAAACAUAAAAAAUAAAUAAAUUUUAAGCAAAAAUAAAUUUCAGAUUUUGUCCAACCUCCAUUUGGAACGCAAUACCAAACAGGGCUACAAGGAGUUAAGAAGACAAAUAGCAAACUCAUAGUACUUCAGUCAACUACAAGACACCUAUAUCAUAGUCUGAUAUCAUAUACCCAACCAAAGAAGUUAAACACAAACUCAGCAUGCCUCACCUCCCUUAGAACAAAGACAUGGUUUAGAACACAUAUAGGCUCCAUAUCAUUCAGAACUGAAAACAAGUUGGUCAACCUUUGCAUCGCAGCUUCCAACCUGCCAUCAACACAAACUCAAGAAUCAAGACAUGUUGUAUCAUUGCAGAUUAUCAUGAAAAGCAGCACAAGUUAAAUUCCAUACAUUUUUAUAGCACUAUUAUUUUCAGGGUAGCUCUCGUGGCCAGGCAAAGGAAAGCCAACUGAUCCCCCUCCCUUGGUAGAUUUUGAUGUAGGAAUUGAAACUCUGGAUGUGUCAUUCAAAUAAAAAGCAGCCUGCUCUGGAAGAAGCUGAAAUUUCCUAAACAUUAGCUUUCUAAUAUAGCUACUCAAACAUUUCCUUAUCUGCUACAGUAUAUCACAGUUCAAAGUAAAAACCUGAGCCUCUAAGGCACCAAAUCCUCCUUAAGAAUCAAGAAUAUUGAUUAAUCCCUCCAAUCCUCCAAUGAUAGAUUCAAUAAGAGACUCAACAUAUAGGACUGCAUCUCGCCCAAUUUUCGUUACCUAUUUACAGAAAAGUACAAAGUAAAUUUCAUGACGUUUCCAUUACAUGAUAUGCAAGAUGGAAAGCACAGUUGGGGUGGGGGGUUAAGCAGUUGUUGGAGUUAUCCUCUUUGCAAACUGUUCAACCAUGCCCUUAACGAGUAUGGAUCAACGCAAUGUGCAGCAGAUUAAAUUAAAUAAAAUCCAAGUCUUCCCAUUUCAAUUUCUCUUAGCAAAAAAUCAUCAAUUAUAGCCCCUCUCCCCAACUGAAAUAGCUAGUCGAUGGAUCACCUCUUCUGGAACAAUUGGAGAAGCACACUCUGGAAAGCUACUAGCAACACCAAGCCAUGCACAGCAAUGGUGAGGACGUCCUUCUGGUCCAAACAUGGUGUUCCGAAAGACCUACCAUGGAAAAAGAUGCAUGGUUAGUUAUAACAAGGAGCCCGUGAGGAAAAGAGUAACCCCAAGCAAAAUAAUUGUGGAAACGAAAAGCAACAGAGCAUGCUGCCUAGAAAGUCCAACAAUACCCAAUUGAGUAUUUUGAGGAGCCCAGCCUUCAUGACUUGAAAUUAUAAACUAAAUAAGCCAGGAACUCACUACAGUAAGGUGCUGAUGGUAGAAAUACAGCUUUUUUAGAGUUCCAUGCUUUGAUAAUUGCGACUCUAAUUCAUCAACGCAUCUGCAAUUGAAAGAGAUUCCUGUAUGAUGUUCUGUAGAUUUCAACAGCAUUCAAUUUGAAUUUGGAUUUUCCAUGUGAACAAGGUAACCUCCAGAAUACAGUACAGCAGAUACUGAAAUUGAGAUGCUGUAUGGAGAAAAGAGGGAACCUAUGCCCAUAGGCUUCAUAAGAACCUCAGAAUCAUGAUUGUCCAUACUAUUUUCCCAUUGUUUCCUGAGAAAAGAGGGAACCUAUGCCCAUAGGCUUCAUUUUGUACUCAGAUCUUGAAACAGUCAUCUAACAGUAACUAUUGGUCUAGCAAAUGGUUCAAAGUCUCAAAGGAAAACCAGACAACAUGAAGUGGUAUAAUGUGCCUAACUCCCAUACAUUAAGUGGUAGAGCAUUUGCCAUUUAGCUCAAAGUUUAAGCUACUCGGUACAAGGCCACUUCAUAAAGCCACACCAAACACAAACACAAACACAAACACAAACAAAGUGGACUUUCUAUGCUACCACAGCAAACUUCACUCUCGCAAACUGGUGCCUCUGUGAGUCAUGGAAACAUACUUAAAAGCCAAGCAUAAAUGCAAGAGUAAUUAAUGAUUUGUAAAAUGAAUAUGUAACGAAUAGAAACAUAAAAUAAACAACCAUAAAGUUUACUAAAUUACCACUACUGCCAUUGUGUCAUUCUUUAUAAAUUAAUUUGUUAAAAGUUUUUCCUUAAACAUAGCAUUACUCUGAAUGCAAUACCGCUGACUUCACAUGGUUUCUUUCAAGUCAGAGCUAAGAGGACCAACAGAGAUUAUCAUUCUGUUGGUUUCCUUCAAACAAUACCCCCGGAUUACGUUUUGCGCGGACGAAGACCAGUUCAACAGAGAAAUCCAGCAAAUCACGGCCACGAUACCCACGAUGCCACCCACAAUCACUCUCCUCCACGAUAUUCGCCAUGGCUGGAGGCAGGGACACAGGACCUUCUCUGGCUUUAUAAAAGCUAGAGAAAAAGAGGAAAAGAGAAGAGCCAAAAAGAAAACAGAGAAGGGGUCAGCAACAGGGGAAUUCUAGGGACAAAAAAAGGGAGCAUAAAUCCAUAGCAAAAACAGAGACAAACGCCAUCAAAAAAAAAAAACAGAGGACCAACCGUUAACAUCACCAUCUUCUCGAACGCAGGGGACAUAGAGAAGAACGAAAACACAGGGGAAGGGGAAACAGAGGAAAAAAUAGAGAGGCACACAGAAAUACAUAAAGAAAUAACACGCAGAGCAGGGGAGAAAAAGGGCAGCACACACACAGACAAGGAUUGAUUAUCCCUGCCAUCGUUUUAUCCCUGCAAAGAAUGCUACAUUUGCUGCCAUGAAUGAAGGGAUAGUACCUGGUGGGGGUGCAACAUAUGUACAUAUCUCGGAGCAGAUCUCCUCAAUAAAAAAUUCCAUGAAAGAUGAAAAUGAGAAGAUUGGUGCUGAUAUUGUUGCAAAGGUCUGUUCUCAGUUCCUUUCUUUUUUCAAAAGUUAUUUUCUUCACACUUUCGCCUCACUAGGAUUGGAUCUAAGGUGAUUUUCCUUUCUUUCGUGAGAUGUACCUUUUAUGCUCAUUUCUUUAUUUGGAUUGAUGAAUUUUGCGUCUCAAAUAGAAAUAAGCAGCGUUGGCGAAUGAGUUACCAUGCACAAGUGCAAUAGGGGCUGGUGCUAAAGCAGAUUAUUGCACAAGACUUGUAAAACGGACCAAGGUUCCUUUCAUAAUUAGUGAUAAAGUUGGACAUCCUUGUGAAAUGGUUAUAAAUGCAGGGCGUAGCAUGGAGAAACCCUACAAGUAGUGGUUUCUAAAUGAUAUAAAGGGAAAUUUCUUCUCCCAUGUAGUAACACAUACCAAUGAUGCAUUACAGGCACUUCUUGCACCUGCAAAAACAAUUGCAACUAAUGCAGGGGUUGAUGGAGCAGUUGUGGUGGAGAACUGGUUACAAUGCAAUGACUGGUAGAUAUGAAGAUCUUCUCAAUGCAGGAGUGGUAGGUCCUUGUAGAGUUUCUAGGUGUGCACUUCAAAGUGCUGUCUCAAUUGCUGGGAUAGUUCUAACAACUCAAGCUGUGCUGGUUGAAAAAAUAAAAAAGCCCAAGCCCGCUGUCUCUUAUGUUCCUGGAAUUACACCUUGAGAAAAAUGGAAAAGAGCUGUUAAAAUUGUAGAAAGAAGCUGAAGAAAUUUUAUUGCUCUGAUGGCUCUCAUCAACAGUUUUGAGUUGGCUGGUCAGAAUGAAACUUGAAGGUGAAGCAAGUCUCUUCAACAAGCCUUUACAACUUCUGGGAUCACCAGGUGGAUCAUGCUUAAGACCACAAAAGCAUCAAAUGCCAUAAUGAAAGACUUUGCAUUUGUCUGGAAAUGCUUGGUUCUCCCUGCUGAUACAUCGACGACUACUCCCCUAAAUUUUGUGUUUGGUCUCUGUUAUAUUUGAUUUUCUGGCUGGUUUCCUGUCAAGAAACUCACUACUAUUCCAGUAACUCAGCAAGUAGGCAUAUAGGAAGAGUGAUCCAAUAUCCAGAUGCCCUCUUUAAAAUCUUCAACUGAAGUUAGUCACUGACACAAUUGAAGCAGAAAAUCACCUUUAUUUUAUCAAUUAUAUUUUCCCUUGACUGCUAUAUGAUUCAUCUGUCAAUUUUAUUUGAACGAGGUUUUGGUCUAUUGCCAUCAAAUUUAAUUGAUUUUUGUUUGCUAUUGGAUGAUUGCCUUGUAGUGUUAUAAAACAUGUUCUGCUGUUUGAGAAGCAGCCUUCUCCAUCUUUUGUGAGUUUUCAAAUGUUUGAUUUUUCAACAUAUUUUCUUUUUGUUUUGAAUUAGAAGCGCACACGUACAUCCUCUAUCAUUUAUAUGGAAAUGGACUUAGCCCCGGUGCUCGAAAACUAAAUGAAAUAUUUCAGUUUGGGCAUGUGCUUAUGUGGCUGCGUUGAAGUGCAGGAGUAAAUCUCAUGUAGAUUAUUAUCAAUGAUGUCAAGAGUGUAUAGAGAACAGAUUUCCCUUCUCAAUCCCUACUCUAAAUAUGAAUAUCAUUUUCUUCUUCUUGCUUACUUUCUCUCCUUUCUCGACAUCCAUGUCAUUACCAUCCCCCUUUCUCCUCAGUCGUACCCAAUGCACCUUCUAAUAUAAGCUCAUGAAUAUUACUAGUACUCAUGAACACUCUUCCUUUUGACACACUACCCAUCUUUCUUACUUUCAUCUCUUUUCUCAUCUUCCUCUUCCUCUUCCCUUAGACACACUUCCCAUCUUUCUUACUUUCAUUUCUUUUCUCAUCUUCCUCUGCCUCCUUUUCCUCAUUCCGUUUAACUAUUUCAAAGUUCCCCUCCCAAUCAGUCUUUGCUUGAAAAAUCAGCAACGCAUUGAAUGCUUUCUACGGAAACAACACCACCAUUUAGUGGAAAUUAGAGGCUGCAACCCUGUCCACUUCCUGGGAAUCUCCACAACACCAUUUAGUGCUCCCAUCACAUUCUCCAAUAUCAAGUAUCAUUGCUUUUCAGACAUUCUGAAUUUUGAUCCUUCCAAUUCCUAUGUUUCAAAUCAACUGCCACAACGUUCCUAUUCGUCUUGAAAAAUGCUUUCUACGGAAACAACCUUUUUAUCCACAACAGACGCAUCAUAAGUGUCUCAUAACUUCUGCUUUGCUAAGUAGUCAAUUAUUAGACUUCAUUUUUUUGAAUCGCAAGCACUUCACUGGGAUGUUUUCAGCUGUUAUAUUCAAUUAGGGUUCUGUUGGAGUUUGCAAAGGGUUUUGGAUGUUCUUUGUUUUGGAGUUUCGUGAUCUUGGAAAGAUACUAAUGGAUUUUUGCAGAGAAGCACGGAUCGUCAACGAGGAUGUUCUAGUGUUGUUGUAGAUUUUUAUUCAAGACUUGUAUCAUUUGAUGAUGUCAUGUGAAUUGCUAGAAAUAUAUAAAAGUUUCGUAAGGAAACUGAAGCAGCCUACCAUAAGACAAGAUCUAUUAGAUUUUUUGAAGCCCAGAGGAAAGAUACAGAGACGCUCUGUUUUUGUUUGGUAAAUAAAGACUUUUUCUGGCUGUAGGUUUGGUCUUGUCUCAAUUCAGGAAAUCCCACUUAUAAUUCAGCAUAAUUGCGUAAACCCUUGAAAACUGUUGAAAAUUACAAAAUGUUUUGAUGCCAAGGCCCGUUGGCCUUCCAGGUACAAAAUUAACCUGAACCUUGAGAGAAAAUUAUGCCUACAAUUCUACAACAGAGUUUUUGAACAGAAGCAGCAUUCCUUAUCACAGGGCUAAAUGACGUUAUUUGAUCUUUAUUUACCUAGAGGAAUAAAUAUUGAAUUUCAACGUGACAAAUGACGUUAUUUGAUCUUUCAGGACGAGUUUGGUUUGAUUGUGGAAAUUUUGUUCAUCAUUAUUGUACGGUCUUUGUGUUGGAUUUUGGAUUGUUUAUCACUCUCCAAAAAAAAAAAUGUAGUAGGAAGGCAAUUGAUACAAAUGAAGGCAAUAAAUUACAUGAUUCAUGAUAUUCACCAAGUUCAUCUAAAAUGACUUGAUUAUUGAAUAUUACAUUUUACCAAACAAGUUGCUUUUCACAAACGCCCAAGUAUACUGUAAAAAUUCAGCCAAUAACAUUUCUGGGAACCAUUAUAUCUUCCAAUUCCAUCGUUAGCUUUGGCAAUGGAGGCCAUCGAGUUGUAAGCUCUGUAGAAACCUGUCGCAUUGUUGGCCGAUAGUGAGGAUCAGUCUGCAAGCAAGCAAACGCCAGUUUUGCAACAUGUGCCACACCGUCCGCAAGCUCGUUUUCAGGAGGUGGGAGGCGCUGGUCUAAGACAUCCUUCAAGACUGUAUUGUGACCAAUUGGUGAUGAUGAGGAGGUGGAGGCAGAUAACAUCAGAGAUGAUAUGAAAUCGCCAGGAUGCUUUCCCAUCAUUACUUCCAAUGUUAAUACUCCAAAGCUAUACACAUCACAAUUUUCAUCCACUUUCAUUGUGUAUGCCAACUCUGCAAAAGAGGCUGGUCAUGCUAUAUGUUGCUAAAAUAAUUAACUGCACCUAUUUUGUUUUCAAGUGAUUCUGUAAACUAACCUAUUGUAGAAGGUGAUAUUGAAACUUAACUACAUACCUGGAGCUGUGUACCCAAAGGUGCCAGCAAAUGAUGUCCAAUUGGACGAGUCAGGCAUUAGGAGCCUGGCUGUGCCGAAGUCAGAGACAUGAGCCUCGUAUUCUGAAUCCAAAAGAACAUUAUUGCUGGAAAUGUCUCUAUGAAUAAUCGGAGCACAGAGCAGUCAUGGUGCAUGUAGGAUAAAGCAUUGGCUACGCCUUUGAUAAGAUUCAUCCUUUUAUCCCAAUCCAUCUUUCCUGCUUGUUCCUCGUCGUUCAGUACCUUUCUUAAACUUCCCCUUUCCACAAAUUCAUAUACCAAAAAUGAGUGUUUGGCAUGCGAGCAGAAACCAUACAGCUUCACAAUGUUUCGAUGCCGUAUACCCAUGAAGACAUCAAUCUCGCUUCUAAAAGCUUUCAAGCUGCUCAUCUCAACUUCUGGUGUUUGGUGGAAUUUCUUCACGGCGAGGACUUGUUCUGAUGGAAGUACAGCUUUGUAUACAACUCCAUAGCCUCCGGUACCAAUGCAAUAUUUGGAGUCGAAUUCCUCAGUAGCCUCUACGAUGUCCUCGUAGCGCAAAUCCCCACCAGGGCACCAUCUCGCGGUAACAUCUCUUUGUGGUGUUUCCACUAACCUUUUCUUUCUUCUGCUUUGGAAAAAGAUAAGAAAACCUACAAUGAGGCCCAACAAACUACCCAGCAGAGAAAAUACCGUCAAAAAGACAACUUUGGGGCCCACAGUUUUGUUUUUUAUAAGAGCAGAACAAGCCUCCAAACCAGUUGCAUUGCCACACAGGUUGGUGUUGUUGCGAAUUGCUUCAAAUGGUGCCUCGCGAAAGGCUUUGAUGUCAGGAAUGGGGCCCUCUAACUUGUUAUAGGAUACAUCCACUUUAGUGAGGCCUUGCAGUCUACUAAAACUAGUUGGAAUUCGACCAGACAGCAUAUUAUGGGAGAGGUUUAAAACCUCUAGCCGCUGCAGCUGUCCAAGCUCUGGCGCUAUAUCUCCCAUCAGGGAAUUCCAACUGAGAUCAAGACUUUGAAGAGACUGUAAAGACCCCAUCUCGGCAGGAAUACUCCCUGUGAAUCUAUUCUUGCUGAUAUUCAAGAAUAUCAGUUUUGAGCACUCGCCAAGCUGUUUAAGAAUUGUUGCACUAAAAUUGUUCGCGGCCAGGCCAAGCUUUUCGAGAUUAGAUAACGAUGCGACAUCGAAAGGAAUAUCACCUGAAAGGCUGUUAUCGUUGAGUGCAAGUUCAAUCAACUUCAAAUUUCUGAAUUCUUUGGGAAUUCUACCAACUAGUUGAUUUGACGAGAGGUGAAGAACUUGUAGAUGAGUUGCCUUUCCAAGAGCUGCUGGUAUCUCUCCAGAAAUCUUGUUACCAGAAAUCUUGAAGGCCGUUAGAUUGUUAAACUGCUCCCAUUUCAAUGAAAGUUCACCUUGCAAUUCAUUAUCACUCAAAUCCAUGUAGUUCAAAUAAGGAUGUGUGCCAAAAGCUUCAGAUAUGUUUCCACUAAGUUGGUUUCUCUCAAGUCUGAGUCUCAACAAGCUGCUGCAGUUUCUCAAGCUUUUCGGGAUAGGUCCCGUGAAAUAAUUUUGAUCUGCAGCAAAAAAUCUAAGCAAUCCACCAAGGCACACAUCUCGUGGUAGAUUUCCAUAAAAUCUAUUAGAAUAUAUUUGUAAAAAAGACAAAUGUGUAAGGUUGUUCAUUUCUGGAGGAAUGGGACCAAAAAGAUUGUUAUCGGCAAGGUCAAGUGCAGAUAAGUUUCUUAAAUUAUUUAAAGAUAUCGGUAUUGUACCAGUUAGUUUAUUAAAUGACAAAUUUAAAAUGGUGAGAGAUCUCGUCAGGUUUCCAAUAAAAGUAAUGGGACCAGAAAAAUUGUUAUUCCGAAGGUCAAGUUUAGAUAAGCUUCUUAAAUUUUCUAAAGAUGCUGGUAUUGUACCUGUUAGUUUAUUAGAUGACAAAGCUAAAAUAGUGAGAGAUCUCGACAGGUUUCCAAUAAAAGUAAUGGGACCAGAAAGAUUGUUGUUUGCAAGGUCAAGUUUAGAUAAGCUUCUUAAAUUUCCUAAAGAUGUCGGUAUUGUAUCGGUUAGUUUAUUAGAUGACAAACCUAAACCAGUGAGAGUUCUCGUCAAGUUUUCAAUAAAAGUAAUGGGACCAGAAAAACUGUUAUCCCAAAGUAUAAGUUCGGAUAAACUUCUUAAAUUUCCUAAAGAUUUUGGUAUUGUACCGGUUAAUUUAUUAGAUGACAAAUCUAAAAUAAUGAGAGAUCUCGACAGGUUUCCAAUAAAAGUAAUGGGACCAAAAAGAUUGUUGUCUGCAAGGUAAAGUUUAGAUAAGCUUCUUAAAUUUCCUAAAGAUGUCGGUAUUGUACCGGUUAAUUUAUUAAAUGACAAAGCUAAACCAGUGAGAGUUCUCGUCAAGUUUCCAAUAAAAGUAAUUGGACCAGAAAGACUGUUAUUCCAAAGCAAAAGUUCAGAUAAGCUUUUUAAAUUUUCUAAUGUCGGUAUUGUUCCGGUUAGUUUAUUACAUGACAAAGCUAAAGUAGUGAGAGAUACUAAAUUUCCAAUUUCUGGUGGAAUGUUGCCAGAAAUGCUAUUGUAAGACAAGUCAAGGAUGGAGAGGUUAGAAAGGUUACCUAUAUGUGAAGGAAUGGACCCAUAGAGCGAGUUGUUGUCAAGGGUAAGCUCAAUCAAGUUAUGAAAGGAAGAGAAUCUGAAACGAUUAAGCGUACCUCUCAAACUAGAAUCGGACAGACUUAUGUUGCUGACACUACCAGACUUGUCGCAGCUGAUUCCGAACCAGCUGCAAGGACUGUCUCCAGCCCAAGAAGACAGGAGAGACUGGCUUUGGUUGUCAAGAGUGACUUUCCAUUCUAGAAGAACUUCCGCUUCCUUCCUUCCAUUUGCUACUUCAGCAAAAGAAGCGAAGAAGGAAGCAUAAGCAAGUAAGGAAAAAACCAAAAAAGGUGUGGAAAAGAGAAAGAUGUGGGAAGCCAUGGCCUUGGUGGUUUACUUUCUUAAAAAGGAUGUAUAAAAUGAUUUGCCCCGCAUACGUAUAUAUAUGGGAAAGAAAUGAUAGAUUUUCGAGUAAGAUUCGGUGGAGAUGGAUUUUGAUUUUGAAAAAUUUGAAGGUAUUAAUUUUGAAUAUUUUUUUUAUCAAGUCUUAAUUUGUUUUUAAUUUUAUCUUUGGAUCCUAAUCUUGAUUUUUUAUUUUUUUUUCAAAUUUGAUACUCAAUCUCUUGAUUUUUUUUUGUUUUGGAUUCUUUUAUUAAUUUGAUUUUUAUUUUUAAUUUUACCUCUUAAUUAAAAAUUUUAGGCUGUCAUCUUUCUUUUUUUUUCAAAUUAGGUUCUUAUUUUUUUAAUUAUUAUUUUUUUAUCCUUUUAUAUAAUUAAAUUUUUUAUUUAUUUCACUAGUCAACAUUUUAUUUAUUAAUUAGGGAGGUGGUCUUAAUAAUGUUUCUCAAAGCUUUUAGACUUGGCUCGGGAGUCGAUUCGAGGCAAGUACCGAGUCACAAGUCAGGUGGGUUAACUUUAGUUUACCCAAGUCAAUCAAAUCUUUUUAUUUUAUAAAAAAAGUUAAAAUGCAAUCAUUUUAAAAAAAUAAAAAAAAUAAGAAAAUAGUUAAUGAAUUAACCAAAUCAACCAAUUUUUUUAUUUUCUUUUUAUGAUGUUAAGUCAUGAAUUUUCUUUAUUAAAAAUAUAUUGACAUUGUUUUAACAUCAUUUUUUUUAUGUUACAAAAAAGUCAGUUCACUAUAAAAAGAAACUCGUGCCACCUUUCGAGGAAGACAGAUCAAUGAAAGGUGGAGGGCUGGAGGCAGAGGAAGCCACCCAGCCAGUCAGCAUCUUCGUUAGGAGGAGCAUGUGUAGACUAAUUUAAAUUGUUAUUCCAACAUUUAUGUUGAUGGAAUAUUUAAUUGCGUGAUAGCAGGAGCAUGUGUACUAGGCUAGAAGGUAAAUGAAGUAUUUGUUACGAUUAUUAGAAUAUUUAUGUUGGAAUUAGAAUAUAUGUUCACUUUAUCUCUAAGGUGAGUAAAUCAUAUAUAUAUAUAUUGUUUCUAGAAAACGGUUACAGAAGAAGAGGAAAUCAGCUGUGAACAGAUUCUAGAGCUAGGCAGUUAUAAUAAAUCACGUAACAGACCUUCUAGCCUUGGUUCAUCAGGGUUUUAGCUAUGGAUCCAUUCUCGGAUGAUUUUUUUAUGAAAUAUAAGAGAAGUAUUAUUUUGCUGCUUAAUAAGAUUAUUAUAUUCUAUGAUUAAAAAAAAAAACGAAAUCUGAAUAUUAUUAAGAGAUGAAGACUAUUGUAUACUCCCAUUCCUUGACUUGAUCAUUAAUCAAGAUGGAAUAUUCAAUUGCGUUUUAGAAGGAGUAUGUAUAAAGUUAUAAACUAAUAUAAAUUGUCAUUCUAGAAGAGAAAUGAAGUAUUUGUCACAAUUAUUUGAAUACGGACUCAUUCUGACAACUUUUUUUUAAUGAAGUACAGAGAUAUAUUAUUUUGCACCAUUAUGUGGUUCAAAAAAUUAUUAUAUUCCAUGAUUAAAAAAAAUAUAUGAGCCUCUGCACUGGGUGAUCAUCCUUCAAUGCAAUUUUAUAUUAUUUUCUUGCUAAUUAUUUUAUAUUAUUUUCCUACAAAUUUUACAUAAUAUUAUUGCACUUGUUCUAGAACCAGCUAACAUGAACUGUAAGGCCACUACGGCACAAGCAAAAUCUGAAGAAGAAUGAACACCAAAGAUAGCAAUCCACUGUCCCCCAUAUUCUAUAGAGUUAACUUUGAAGUUGUUAUCAUUCCAUAAGACUAAAACACCACCGGAUUUCCCAACAGCAUCUAUAGAAGCCCAUCUAAUAUCCUGUUAUUUCUAAAGAAAGUUGACAAAUUUUUCAAUGCCCGCCUAGUAUUCUCCCAUCCCGAUAUCACAAUAAUCUUUAAAAAUUCAAAUUUUAAAAAGAAUAGAUUUUUAACAUUUUAUUUUUUGAUAAAAAAAUAUCUUGUUUAAGAAGUCGUCAUCUAAUAUUAUAAUCACUAAAAACCCUAACUGGUCAAUAAAGAUUUUAUAAUACGAAACUGGUUAAGCAAAAAAGAAGAUAUUAUCAUUCUUUAAACAUUCUACUUAAGGUAGGUUGUAUUACUUGUUUUGUCUUGAAUUGCUAAAAGAUUUUAUAAUACGAAACUGGUUAAGCAAAAAAAAAGAUUUUGUUUCAUUAUAAAUGCACGCGUAAGACUGUCCCCCAUAUUCUUUGGAGUCAACUUUGAAGUUGUUAUCAUUCCAUAAGACUAAAACACCUCCAGAUUACCCAACAGCAUCUAUAGAAGUCCAUCUAAUAUCCUGUUAUUUCUAUAGAAAGUUGACAAAUUUUUCGGUGCAAGCUGCCCACCUAGUGGGAUCGCGACCAACUUUAAUAAUUUAAUUUUUUAAAAAAAAAUACGAGACUCUGCAUUGGGUGAUCAUCCUUCAACCAUUUUAAUUUAUAUUAUUUUCUUGUUUUUUCUCCUAGUUUUUCAUUUCUUGUGUUAAACAACAAAUCCAACUCUUUAUCUCCCUUAAUUACCCUAAUUAUUUUAGGUUUUAUCUAUGAUGUAAAAUCCAAACUUUACAAUUAAUAUAGCCAGCUUGUAUCCCACCAUUCCAUGACUCCUGAUUAUUAAGAGAUGAAGACUAUUUGUAUACUCCCAAUCCUUGACUUGGAUAUUAAGUUAGUUUAGAUUCUCAUAAAUUUGAAAUUUUAAAGUAGGAUCUUUUUUAUAUACCGGUCAUGAAUCUAGAAAUUAGAUUGUUAUAAAUUAAGUGCGUUUUAGGAGGAGUAUUUGUAAACUAAUUUAAAUUGCAAUUCUAAAAGGAAAAUAAAGUAUUUUUCAUGAUUAUUAGAAUACUUGUUUUAGGGUUUCAGCUAUGAACCCAUUCUGAUAACUUCUUUUUUUUAUGAAAUACAGAGAUAUAUUAUUUUGCACCAUUAUGUGCUUCAAAAAAAUUAUUAUAUUCCAUGAUUAAAAAAAUGUCAGACUCUGCAUUGGGUGAUCAUCCUUCAAUGCAUUUCUAAUUAUUUUUACUAACUGUGCUAUUUCAAAAUAAACAUUUAUAUAAAAAGGCAGAAAAUUUAAUUUCGUUUUGAGAGGUGUAGACUAGGGGUAUGAGUGUUACUCUUGCAUAAAAGUUUGUACCAGGUGGCAAGUUUCUUUUGGACAGGUACAAGUAAGAAGAUUGAAUAUUCAAUUGCGUCCUAAGAGCGGUUGAACAGUACUAUCAACGAAGAUUGAAUAUUCAAUUGCGUACUAAGCGGGGUUGAACUUCGUUUUCUUCUUCUUGUUUUUUUUUUUUUUGGUAAUAAUCGAAUUUUAAUAAAAAGAAGCUAAAUAGCUCGAUGUGCAAGCUCUUUGAAACGAUACUGACAGUCCUUCCACUGCUAUAUCAAAAUUUAACUAUAAUCAACAUUAAACUUUCUUAUUUCUUCAAUUAACAUCCUGAUAACUCCAAGUUCAAAUAAAUCCCAAUACUAAUUAAUUCAUCAAUUAAACUUUUAAUUUCACAAAUUAGAUUAAUCCAAAAUUUAAUUAAAUUUUCAAACUUUCAAUUUAUCAUCUUAACUCAAAUUUCAAUUUAUUCUAUUUUCAUUUUUUUCAUCGUCAUUUUUAUUAUUUUUAUAUAAAGUAAGAAAAAUAUGAAGAUUUGUGUUAGGUACUAUUUAUUAUUUCUUUCUUUAGACGUGACAAAUGAUGUUAUUUGAUCUUUCAGGACGAGUUUGGUUUGAUUGUGGAAAUUUUGUUCAUCAUUAUUGUACGGUCUUUGUGUUGGAAUUUGGAUUGUUUAUUACUCUCCAAAAAAAAUAUGUAGUAGAAAGGAAAUUGAUACAAAUGAAGGCAAUAAAUUACAUGAUUCAUGACAUUCACCAAGUUCAUCUAAAAUGAUGCUUUGGACGGAAUAUCUAACAUAGACUUGAUUAUUAUAUUUUGCCAAACAAGUUGCUUUUCACAAACGCCCAAGUAUACUGUAAAAAUUCAGCCAAUAACAUUUCUGUGAACCAUUAUAUCUUCCAAUUCCAUCGUGGAGAAUAGCUUUGGCCAUCAAGUUGUAAGCUCUGUAGAAACGUGUCGCAUUGUUGGCCGAUAAUGGGGAUCGGUCUGCAAGCAAGCAAACACCAGUUUUGCAACAUGUGCCACACCGUCAGCAAGUUUGUUUUCAGGAGGUGGGAGGCGCCGGUCUAAGACAUCCUUCAAGACUGUAUUGUGACCAAUUGGUGAUGAUGAGGAGGUGGAAGCAGAUAACAUCAGAGAUGAGAUGAAAUCGCCAGGAUUCUUUCCCAUCAUUACUUCCAAUGUUAAUACUCCAAAGCUAUAAACAUCAUAUUUUUCAUCCACUUUCAUUGUGUAUGCCAACUCUAAAGAGACUGUAAAGACUUUGAAUAGACUGUAAAGACCCCAUCUCAGCAGGAAUACUCCCUGUCAAUCUAUUCUUGUUGAUAUUCAAGAAUAUCAGUUUUGAGCACUUACCAAGCUGUUUAAGAAUUGUUCCGCUAAAAUUGUUCGCGGCCAGGAUGCUUUCCCAUCAUUACUUCCAAUUGGUGAUGAUAAAAUUAUUUUAAUAUAUUUUUAAAAAGCAACUAACACUAUCAAAUCAUACGCUACCUUGCAGACACUAUCUCAAAAUAUGCCAUAGGAGAAAUCUAUUCUCUUUCAAUAGCAAAUGCCAUUAUUCCUCCACCAAACAGAGACUGGGAGAAUACUACUGCAGUCUUCUGGUUUGAUAGAAGACAAAAGUUUUGGCAAUCAUGAUCCUACGUGGACAACACGGAUGCAAUCAAAGAAUGCAUUGCUGUGAUCUUUCUGUGCCUUUUCUUUACUUAUUUUAACACAAUCACUUAAACAAUUAUUUUGGAAUAUGGUCCCUGCACUUGUAAUGCAAAUUACCCAACACGAUAAUAUUAUUCCCACCUGUCCAUCCAUGGAGUUUUUUAAUCGUAUCCUUCAUCCACCAAGAAUCUUGAGAGAGAGAAAAAUAAUAGCGAUGGAAGAAAAAACUCAACAUGUAAUUUUAUACACGCAUGGCACAGGUCAACCAAGAUUCAAAGGUCAUGCCUUGCCAAAAACCUCAUGAUUUCAGUUCAGAAGAAAACAACAAUACUCCAGGGGAUGAUUAAUUUCUCCUGCAGACCAGGAUAUUGUAAGAACUGACAGAAACAAAUUUACGAGCCUUUGACAAUGCAGAGCUCCCUGUGCAUCGCGCGUAAAGAAGGAGAUUUGAUGGUAUGGCAGCAUGGACAUGCAUGGAUUCUGCAGAUGGUGCUUGGUGGUCAAGAUCUAAUUAAACUUAGGCUGGCCAUCCAAUAGAAAAGUUGAUUGAUCACAUCAAAGAGGUCCUGAUCACAGCAAAAUAAGAUAGACAGUUGCGUCUGAAGAGGUGUAGAAUACUAUGGUCUUCCAUUCAUGACUGGAUUUCUUUGGGUUUCAGCUAUGGUGAUGUUUCCCAUGAAAUUCAUGUCGUUAAUUUGCUGUUGGUUCGAAAGGAGAUUAGGAGCGUUCUUGGCACUUCUUUGAACUGAUUUUAUUUUGUUUGUAGAAAUUCAUCUCUCUAGCUCUCUCAGCCUAGCCUCUGUUUAACAUGAUCCGCGGAAAGUAGUCGUAAUUCUAAAAUUAUUUUUAAAAUUAUCAGCAGUAUGUGUAGACUAAUACGGGGAUUAUUGUAUAAUUUUUCAUUUUCAUUUCGUGAACAUUUUGUGUGACAAUCAACAUUAAUCAAGAUGGAAUAUUCAAUUGCGUCACAGAAGGAGUACGUGGAGACUAAUUUAAAUUGUCGUUCUAGAAUACUUGUGUUGGGGUUUCAACUACGGACCCAUUCUCUGAUUAUUUUUGUUUAUGAAAUAUAAGAAAUAUAUUAUUUUGCACCAUUAUGUGCUUAAUAAAAUUAUUAUAUUCCAUGAUUAAAAAAAAUACGAGACUGUGCAUUGGGUGAUCAUCCUUCAAGGAUUUUUUAUAUUAUUUUCUUGUUGUUUCUCCUAGUUUUUCAUUGCUUGUGUUAAACAACAAAUCUAACUCUCUUUAAUCUUUAUCUCCCUUAAUUACCCUAAUUAUUUUAGGUUUUAUCUAUGAUGUGAAAUGCGAAAUUUACAAUUAAUGAUAGCUAGCUGAUUGGUAAGAGAUGAAGACUAUUUGUAUAAUGCCAAUCAUUGACUUGGAUGUUAAGAGGGUUUUUCUCCUAGUUUUUCAAUUAAUAAUAGCUAGCUUGUACCCCACCGUUCCAUGACUCCUGAUUAUUAAGAGAUGAAGACUAUUUGUAUCCUCCCAAUCCUUGACUUGGAUGUUAAAAGCGUUAUUACUUUUAUAUUUUAAAAGUGUUUUAAGAAAAAUUAUUAUUAUUAUUUAUAUUUUUAGAUUGAUUUGAUGUGUUGAUAUUAAAAAUAAAUUUUAAAAUAUAAAAUAAUAUUAUUUUAAUGUAUUUCAAAACAAAAAAAGCACUUCAAAAAAAAUCAUUGUCACAAUCACUACAACAUUUAAUAAUUUUAUUGGCAGAAUUUUUUUGUCGGCGUGAGAUUUACGAUUCCGUCGGUGAAAGUUUUACUAACUAAUUUAUUGAUGGAAUCCGUCCGUUGAAAUAACAUUUGUUGAUAGUUUCAUUAUUUAUCACUAAUUAUGGUGGUAAAAAAACCGAUAGUUUUACGUACAGAAAAUAAUAGUUAAAAAAAUAAAAUUCGCUUAAUUUCACCAGUAUUUCCCUUGAAAAAAUUGACAUAUAACAAAAAAAAUUGGAAUGACAAUAUUUACAUGCAUGGUUAGCCUUCAGACGAGAGCCAUGGAUGAAAACUUGUAGAAAGAAAAUUAGGAGCAUUGGCCACCAGUGAGCUGUAGAUAUUCAAGUCAAUCACAAGUCAUCCCACUACAAGACUUUAGGAUAGGACCAAUAAUUGAAACCAAUAAAGGUUCUGUUGGCAAUUAAAUAUAUAUUGAUGGUAUAAUUUUACGAUUCAACUCACGAUGUUGAACACCAUUGAUUUUGUUGGCAAAAGAAAAGGCAAAGAAACAGCUCUUAAAGAAAAAAGCAAAUCAAGUACGUCAUAAAUGAUACUAGGCAGAUGAAGUCAAGAUCUGGUUCUGUUGGCAAAAGAAAAGGCAAAGCAAAGCAGAACAAUCCAACAAACUUACAGCUCAGAGAGUGAUUUGUGACUAUUAGUCUGGCUGCCAUUCUACAGCCAUUGGUGAAAACAAUCAGGCAGAAAAUAGACUGCUCUGGCGCCCUUUUCUUCUUCUUUUAAUUUUAUUAUUAUUUCUUUCUUCUUCUUCUUUUUUUACAUUAGGGCAAUUUUCUUAGAAUCUCUGACAAUUAUGUUUCCGGAACAGUUUGUAGGAUAUGAACCUAACCCCACAAAUUGAGGUGACUUAAAAAUAACAUUCGUAUGCUCAAAAUGAAAAAAGAAAAAGAAAAACGAGAGUAAAGAUGCAAUACUUUUCAUCGGUUUUCCUUUGUGUGUAUAUUCAUUUCCAUCUUGCAUGGGAGAUCUAUAACUGAUAAAUCGGUGUAGAGGUAUUCUCAAUACUCGUCAAGUGACUUGUUGAAGAUUUUACUUGAGGUUUUUCCAAAAGUAUAUGUUCAUGUUAAGCAGUUUCAAUUUCCUUGUUCACUUUUUUCAAAUUCCUUGUUCUAAGCAGUUUCAAUUUCCUUGUUCACUUUUUUCAAAUUCCUUGUUCACAGUUUCCCAGAUCGAUUCAGCAAAAACAUUCAGUUCCUGUAUGUCACCCAUAGUGUACGCAUCCUGCGGCUGUUUCUGGGAACAUAAAUUCAACUUGUAGAUCCAGUGGAUGAGGUUUUGAGGUCUGGUGGUCGUUAUACUCUGAACUACCACAGUUUGUUCUAUUUCCAGAAAUUUUAUUCUUCAAUAUAAACAUAAUCAUAUUGUGUUAGUAUUUGGCUUUGUAUAUCAUAAUAAAAAGUUCUUAGUUUAUUGUAAAAUAAUUAUUCAAUUUAAAAAUUUAAACUCUAACAUCAAUUUAAACAACCAUUCAACCUAAAAAUAUCCCUUAAACUACAAGUAAAAGCAGAAACAAAUCAAAUAAUAAUAAUAAUAAUAAUAAUAAUAAUCUCUCGAAUUAAAUCAAUUAAUACCAAUUCCUAUGUUUCAAAUCAACUGCCACAACGUUCCUAUUCGUCUUGAAAAUUGCUUUCUACGGGAACAGCCUUUUUAUCCACAACAGACGCUUCAUGAGGGUCUCGUAACUUCUGCUUUGCUUCAAGUAGUCCAUUAUUAUUAGACUUCAGUUUUUGAAUCCCCACUUCACUGGGAUUUUUUCAGCUGUUAUAUUCGACUAGGGUUCUGUUGGAGUUUGCCUGAGGGCUAAGGUAAGGUAUACGAGAACAUCUUUCUUUAGUUGUUGCGAAGGGCUUUGGAUGUUCUUUUUUUUGGAGUUUCUUGAUCUUGGAAAGAUACUAACGGAUUUUCUCAGAGAAGCAGGGAUUGGCAACAAGGGUGUUCUAGAGUGUUGUAGAUUCUUAUCCAAGACUUGUAUCAUUUGAUGAUGUCAUGUGAAUUACUAGAAAUAUGUAAAGUGUAUGGCUAACCCAAUAAUGAAAGUUUCGUAAGGAACUGAAGCAGGCAACCAUGAGGCAAGAUCUAUUAGAUUUUUUGAAGCCCAGAGGGAAAGAUACAGAGACGCUCUGUUUUUGUUUGAUAAACAUAGACUUUUUUUUACUGUAGGUUUGGCCUUGUCUCAAUUCAGGAAAUCCCACUUAUAAUUCAGCAUAAUCGCGUAAACCCUUGAAAACUUUUGAAAAUUACAAAAUGUUUUGAUGCCAAGGCACGUUGGCCUUCCAGGUACAAAAUUAACCUGAACCUUGAAAUAAAAUUAUGCCUACAAUUCUACAACAGAGUUUUUGAACAGAAGCAGCAUUCCUAUCACAGGGCUGGGAAGAAUAGGGGGACGAUCCAUUCAAGAGUUAAGACCUUGCAGUUUUGAAUUUUUAAUACGAGGUUUUUUAGAUUCAAAUCCUGGAAAAGUUCGAGGGGGUAGAGAUUUGAGAUUAGAGGAUAUGGCUUUGUCCUAUUUUUAAUACGAGGUUUUUGCAACGUGUGAUUUAAAGAUUUGUGUUAGGUAUUACUUAUUUGUUUGUUUCUAAGAGGGAAGCCCUCUUUAGACCCGGAGGAUUAAGUAUGGAAUUUCAACGUGACAAAUGACGUUAUUUGAUCUUUCAGGACGAGUUUGGUUUGAUUGUGGAAAUUUUGUUCAUCGUUAUUGUACGGUCUUUGUGUUGGAAUUUGGAUUGUUUAUUACUCUCCAAAGAGAAAAUGUAGUAGGAAGGCAAUUGAUACAAAUGAAGGCAAUAAAUUACAUGAUUCAUGACAUUCACCAAGUUCAUCUAAAAUGAUGCUUUGGACGGAAUAUAUAACAUAGACUUGAUUAUUGAAUAUUACAUUUUGCCAAACAAGUUGCUUUUCACAAACGCCCAAGUAUACUGUAAAAAUUCAGCCAAUAACAUUUCUGCGUACCAUUAUAUCUUCCAAUUCCAUCUUGGAGAAUAGCUUUGGCAAUGGAGGCCAUCGAGUUGUAAGCUCUGUAGAAACCUGUCGCAUUGUUGGCCGAUAGUGAGGAUCGGUCUGCAAGCAAGCAAACGCCAGUUUUGCAACAUGUGCCACACCGUCAGCAAGCUCAUUUUCAGGAGGUGGGAGGCGCUGGUCUAAGACAUCCUUCAAGACUGUAUUGUGACCAAUUGGUGAUGAUGAGGAGGUGGAGGCAGAUAACAUCAGAGAUGAGAUGAAAUCUCCAGGAUGCUUUCCCAUCAUUACUUCCAAUGUUAAUACUCCAAAGCUAUACAUAUCACAUUUUUCAUCCACUUUCAUUGUGUAUGCCAACUCUGCAAAAGCAGUUGGUCAUGCUAUAUUUUGCCAAAAUAUAUUUUGUUUUCAAGUGAUUUUGUAAACUAACCUACUGUAGAAGGUGAUAUUGAAACUUAACGACAUACCUGGAGCUGUGUACCCAAAGGUGCCAGCAAAUGAUGUCCAAUUGGAUGAGUCAGGCAUUAAGAGCCUGGCUGUGCCGAAGUCAGAGACAUGAGCCUCAUAUUCUGAAUCCAAAAGAACAUUGUUGCUGGAAAUGUCUCUAUGAAUAAUCGGAGGGGAGCAGUCAUGGUGCAUGUAGGAUAAAGCAUUGGCUACGCCUUUGAUAAGAUUCAUCCUUUUAUCCCAAUCCAUCUUUCCUGCUUGUUCCUCGUCGUUCAGUACCUUUCUUAAACUUCCCCUUUCCACAAAUUCAUAUACCAAAAAUGAGUGUUUGGCAUGCGAGCAGAAACCAUACAGCUUCACAAUAUUUCGAUGUCGUAUACCCAUCAAGACAUCAAUCUCGCUUCUAAAAGCUUUCAAGCUGCUCAUCUCAACUUCUGGUGUUUGGUGGAAUUUCUUCACGGCAAGGAUUUGUUCUGAUGGAAGUGCAGCUUUGUAUACAACUCCAUACCCUCCAGUACCAAUGCAAUAUUUGGAGUCGAAUUCCUCAGUAGCCUCAAUUAUUUGGUGUUUCCACUAACCUUUUCUUUCUUCUGCUUUGGAAAAAGAUAAGAAAACCUACAAUCAGGCCCAACAAACUACCCAGCAGAGAAAAUACAGUCAUAAAGACAACUUUGGGGCCCUUUUUGUGCAUAGUUUUGUUUUUCAUGAGAGCUGAACAAGCCUCCAAACCAGUAGCAUUGCCACACAGGUUGGUGUUGUUGCGAAUUGCUUCAAAUGGUGCCUCGCGAAAGGCUUUGAUGUCAGGAAUGGGGCCCUCUAGCUUGUUAUAGGAUACAUCCACUUCAGUGAGGCCUUGCAGCCUACUAAAACUGGUUGGAAUUAGACCAGACAGCAUAUUAUGGGAGAGGUUUAAUACCUCUAGCUGCUGCAUCUGUCCAAGCUCGGGCGCUAUAUCUCCCAUCAGGGAAUUCCAACUGAGAUCAAGACUUUGAAGAGACUGUAAAGACCCCAUCUCAGCAGGAAUACUCCCUGCCAAUCUAUUCUUGCUGAUAUUCAAGAAUAUCAGUUUUGAGCACUUGCCAAGCUGUUUAAGAAUUGUUGCGCUAAAAUUGUUCGCGGCCAGGCCAAGCCUUUGGAGAUCAGAUAACGAUGCGACAUCCAAAGGAAUAUCACCUGAAAGUCUGUUAUCGCUGAGUGCUAGUUCAAUCAACUUCAAAUUUCCCAAUUCUUCGGGAAUUCUCCCAACUAGUUGAUUUGACGACAGGUCAAGAGCUUGUAGAUGAGUUGCCUUUCCAAGAGCUGCUGGUAUUUCUCCAGAAAUCUUGUUUCCAGAAAUCUUGAAGGUUGUCAGAUUGUUAAACUGCUCCCAUUUCAAUGAAAGUUCACCAUGCAACUCAUUAUCACUCAAAUCCAUGUAGUGCAAAUGAGGAUGUGUGCCAAAAGCUUCAGAUAUGUUUCCACUAAGUUGGUUUCUCUCAAGUCUGAGUCUCACCAAGCUGCUGCAAUUUUUCAAGCUUUUUGGGAUAGGUCCCGUGAAAUAAUUGUUCGCCGCAGCAAACUUUGAAAGUAAUCCACCAAGGCACACAU